rnacentral:lncRNA from 1 species
GUUUGUUAAAAAUUAAAAAAAAGGUUAAUUUCAUUAGGUCCCUGCAAAUACAGAAAAUGAUUAAUAUAUAUCUCUAUAAAGUUCAACUUUCAUAUAUUAUUUCUUCAAAAUUUUUAAUAUUUUUAAAUAUAUUUUUCUGAUUUGUUAUCCUUAGAGAAUCAUUUAUAUUUUCAGUUUUGCUAUCACAAAUAUAUGUUCCUUCAAAAAUCAUAAUAGUAUAAUAUAAAAGAGAUAAAAAUAUCAAACUAAUCAGGAUUAAGUAUUUAAUCUAUGGUUAACUAAAAUUUUCUAACGAAUUCUAACGAUAUAUAUAUAUAUAUAUAUAUAUAUAUAUAUAUAUAUAUAUAAGGAAUUUAAUGUGGAAAUAAUAUUUACAAUUAUUUUAUUUUGUGUUACUACCAAUCCGAUAAAUACUUUCAUUAGUCCAUAAAAUAUAUAAUAAAAUAUAACUUUCACAUACUAUUUUUAUGUGCAUGAUCCAAUGUAGUCCAAUAAUAUCACCUUCACAUAAAAUUGUAUUGUUAAUAUUUGAUAAAUAUAUAUCUUAAAAAUUAUAAAUUUUUGAAAAUAUAAUUUACUACGAAUAAAAAAAUUAUCUUUUUUUACGUUGUAGAUUUUUUUUAUUUUACUUGCCAUCUGAAUAAAUAACAAGAUUCCAAACUCGUGAAUUAUUUUUUAAGUUUAUGAUCUUCUUUUUAAGUAUCAUAAACACAAUUUUUGGGGGGGUCUAGUUAAUUGUGGCUUUUACAAGCAUGUGGUUCAUGGAUGACGUGGUACGCCUGGUCCAGGAAAAUUUGGCCCCGAUAGCUUUAGUCAUCGUUGCUGAGCUGUCGCGAGAUAAUUGGAAGAUAAUGGUGGGUCCACGUGAGCGCACAAUCAUAGAUUCAUAAUGCGCUUAUUUUUUACUAUAUUAUGCUAUUUGUACUCUCUAUUUUCUCCACGGCACCUGCUUUGGUGAUUAAUGAUUAUCUCGGUUAGAAUAGUAAUGGAUAAAUUGUACUCUUAGUCCCAAACCUUUGUCUCAUUUUAUUUUAGUUCUUAUGUAAUUCAUUAUGUACGAACAAAUGAAAGUUUAACAAACUUUUGAGCUCAAAUGUUAAAACCAAAAGUCAAAGGACCAAAAUGAAAAUUUACUCUUAAGUACCCGAAAAAGAAAUAAAUUAAUAUGGAAAAAAAAUGGGUGCGUGUAUAAAAGUACAUCGAAUCGAGACGCUCUUUCGUCUCGGGGCAAUCGUGGUGGGAUUUUUUUUUAUUUAUUUUUUUAAAUUUAUUUUUAUUUUUAUUUUUUAUUUUUGGCAACUACGAAGGCGUUAAUUGACCUUCCAACGAAGCACAUUCGCGUAAUCACUCUUCAUUACAUAACAAUAAUAACCCCAAAAAUAUGAUUACAGCUUGCAUUAGUGUUAAAUAUAAUUAAAUUUAUCGAUUCAUUAAAUCUGAUUACUAUUUACAAAUUUAUUUUGGAAUUAGAAUCUGAUUACUAUUUACAAAUUUAUUUUGGAAUUAAUUAUCGGGCAAUAGCAAACGUGAGUUAUAAAGUAUUACAAAUAUCUUUUAAAAUUGUUAAUACUAUUUUUAUUCAUAUAAAUUAGGGAAAAUUUCAAAGAUGCCCCUAUAGGAGACUGAAAUUUCAUCACUAGCCCUCUAAAUUUUUAAAUAUCAUAAAUGCCCUUCUAAAUUAAAAAAAAUGCAUGAAUACCCCUACAGGUAAUGUGCUGUCAGAAUCGAACGGAACAAGUUGUAAAUGUCAUUUUUACCCUUAUACGGCUUAUUAAGUGGUAACAGAUAUACUAACACUUUUCACAAAUACCCUUAUAAAUUAUGCAACGGUCAAAUUGAGAAAGACUUUAAAUUCUUCUCAGUACCUUCAUUUUCAAAAAGCAAAUUAUACAUUUUUUGCCCCUCCAACAUAGCCAUAUAUCCUUGUCAUUUUUGCUACUUAUUCUCUCUAAGUAGCAAUGAGUCAAUUAGGUGGUUAGUCUUUUACAAUACCUCAUAACCAAAUUUCUAUUUGUGAUUGUGGUAAACCAUGUCGAAUUUGGAUGUCAAAACAACCACACAGUAAAAAUCGGCGAUUUUAUCAAUGUCCAAAUUUGGGGGUAAGUUGAUGUGAUGCUUUAGUAUGCAUAUAAUUAUUAAUUAAAUUUUAAAUACGUAAUACUGUAUAUUUUUAACAGGUUGAGGAACAAAGAUGGUGCAACUACUUUGCCUGGGUAGAUGAUUUUCAACACAGCACAAUUGAUCUUAAGUACCAAAUUCAGAUGCUAGAGAAAAAUACAGACAGAAGAAUUACAAAGUUGGAGGAGAAAGUUCUAUUCUACCUAAAGCUUGUACUUUAUAUACUAGUUCCUGCAAUUUUUUACAAUGUCCUCUUCUUGUGGGAAAGUCGAUCAUGUAUUGAACAAUUCACCUAUAAAAUAUAGUAAUGGUAAGGGUAAAUUCGUCAUUUUAUGUGUUGAACAAUUCAUCUACAAAGUCCUCUUCUAGGUGGGGGGUAAAUUCGUCAUUAUAUACUUUAACUGUUAUUUAACUACAUAUUAACCCAAGUAGAGUGAGGCACCGUUAACAGUAAGGGCAGUUACGAUAAUUUUAUGUGUUUGAAGGGGUAUUUAUGAUAUUUUUAAGUUUAGAGGGGUAUUUAUGAAAUUUAUAAGUUUGACAGGGGCACUGAUGAAAUUGCCCCUAUAAAUUAUAUCAAAAAUGCUCUCCGUAACUUUUACCAACAGUUUUGGGCUAAUUUGUCACUAGUUAUCUCUAAUUAUGGAUAACUAUAGUAUUGUGUGGGGCUAAUAAAUUUACUUCUCUUCUAAAAAUGACUCGAUUUUUGUUUAUGAUUUAGUCUAUAAAUGUCUUUUUGGUUUAGUUAAGGUAUUUUGUUUUUAAUUCAAUAUCACAUGGGCUGGAAUACUAUCGGUAGUAAACGGGCUCCGUUGCCACCCAUUUGUUUUCGAUGAUAGAACCUUCAAAUCGUUGAUCGACACCAUUGAACAUGAUCUAUAUCACUUGAAAUAUCUAGAAAUUAAAUUUCAAAUAUUUUCGAUAUCAUUGACCUAAUGAUCAAAGAGUUUCAAAAUUAGUAAUUUUAAUGGUUGAUAUGAGGAGUUUUCUCGUUUAACGGUGUAAAGCUAUCCAAAUCAAUUGAGUUUUGAUAAGAAAAUUAUUUAAACUAUUUAGACCAAGAUCUAUACUCUCGAUCUUGAUUAGAAAAUUCCUAUCAUCACUUUUUAGAGGAUAGCCAUUUUCAGUCGUUCAUUUUUACGCCUACUUGAUGGACAAGAAUAUAAUAUUGAAAAAGUAUGAAAUUUGAUUUCUAGAUACUUCAAGUGAUAUAGAUUAUAUUCAACGGUGCCGAUCGUCGAUUUGGAGGCUCAUCAUCGAAAACAAAUGGGUGGCAACGGAGCCCGUUUACUACCGAUAGUAUUCUAGCUCAACUCUAUAUAUAUAUAUAUUAUAUAUAUAUAUUUCUAAAAAUUAGAAUAGUAUUUUCGAUAAUGACAUUUCUAGGAAAAAAUUUAUGCAACUAAUGGUUAAAGAAAAGUCGUAUGAAAAUGUCCCAUUGACUUUUAUAGUCAUCUUGCUUUUUAAUUUAAUUUAUUUUGGUGGGAUUAUAGAACUUUUAUCUAGUUUUAUUUGAGUCAAAUUUCUGAAAAUAUCUAUGUAAUAUGAGAUUUGUAUCAACUCAAACUUAUUACAGAGACUAAACCAAGAUAAAGUUUUUUUUAAAAAAAAAAAGAAAAAUUGUUUCUCUACUUCUACACAAGAUGGUAAAAAUUUGGUUCUUUGUUAGUUUUUUUUUUUUUGCAAAAUAUUUGUUACACAGAAUUAUAUACAAANUUUUUGUUUUUUUUUUUUUUUUUUUUUUUUGCAAAAUAUUUGUUGCACAGAAUUAUAUACAAAUUUAAUGAAAACCUCGGAUCCUAUUUAAUUAGUUAGUAGUUUUGGAUUGGAUGGAGAGUCACAACCACUUAUCACCUAUUAUUUUAUUGAUAAAGACAUUCAAUAUUGAACUUAAAUUAUUAUUUAUUUAUUUAUUAAAUUUGAAUUCGCCACUUAUACUGAUAUUAGAUUAUAAUUCUAAUAUUACUAUGAAUACAAACGUACUAAAGUUAUAAAUAAUCUUAAUAAGAUUAGACAUAAUUUAAAUUUAACUUAAUGAUUUUUUUUGAUGUAGCAAACAAAAAUAAUACUAAAUAAAAAUAAGAUAAGUUAGAUUUUGUCUUAAAAAAUAAAUUUAUUAGCAAUAAUGUAUAGAUUGACCAGAAAAAAAAAAGAAAGUUCAAUAAUAUCUAUGAAAAAGCAGUAUAAGACAGAAAAUUAAAAAUAAAUCUAAAAUACAAGGUAAAGAUUGCUAAAAUAAAAUAAUAUAAUAAUAUUUUUGAAAAAAAAUUUGUAUAAUAUAGCGGGCCAAAAUAAUUGAAGUAAAAUGUAAAAAGGUGUAAUUAAAGAGUUUUCGGGCUACUAAGCCUAUAAAAUCUUUUAAAUAUAAAAAUAAGUAUUCAAAAUUUUUAUUUAUAAAAAUAAAUUAAUGAAAGGAUAAAUGAUUCACCGCUUUUAUCCUAAUUUAUAUAUUUUUUACAUCUAAACUUCAAAAGAUGUAUAAUAUUAAUUAAAUACUAAAAAUAAUUUAAAUCCUUUAGAAAAAGUGGUGAAUAAUUUACCGCAUUUAGAAAGCGAUAAUUUAUUCACCGUAUAAAUCUAAUUUUGUAAAUAAUUUUUUUAGAGAACUUUUUUUAUAAUUAUAGUAUAAAAACAAAGGGUUAAUUUCAUAAAACAAAGGGUUAAUAUGCUGAAAAAUUUAGUGAAUGAAAAAUUUAGUGAAUGAAACGAAGGGUUAAUUUUAUAUAGGUCCCUACAAAUAUAGUGAAUGAAAAAUUUAUCCCUACAAAGUUCAUCUUUUAUAUAUUGUUCAUGCAAAAGUCAUGAUAUUUUCAAAUAUGUCUCUGUCAUUGGAAUCCGUUAGAAAAAUUUACUUAACCAUAGGUUAAAUACUUAACGCUGGUUAGUUUUUGACAUUUUUACAUCUUUAUGUUAUACGGUUAUGAUUUUUGGAGGGAUAUAUUUGUAAUGAUAAAAUUUCUACAACCAUAGGUUAAAUACUUAACACUGGUUAGUUUUUAACAUUUUUACCUCUUUAUGUUAUACGGUUAUAGUUUUUGAAGGAUUAUAUUUGUGAUGAUAAAAUUAAAAAUAUAAAUAGUUUUCUAACGAUAACAAACCAGAGGGAUAUAUUGGAAAACAUCACGACUUUCACGACUUUCAUAGGAACAAUAUAUAAAAACUGAACUUUGUAGAAAUAUAUUUGUCAUUCACUGUAUUUACAAGAAUACGUAUAAAAUUAACCCUAAAACAAAAUUAUGCAAUUAAACCUUAAAAAGUGUAAAUUUUUUUUUAAAAAUAAUUUAUCACUGAUAAAGUCCACAUGUCAAUGUCAUGUUGCUGUUGGGAAAGCUCAGUUCAUAAGCAUCUCUAUGUCCAACCAAAAACAUCCCUUCGUUUUCUUUGGAGUUCAUUGAAAAAGUCAAUUUGUCCCAAGGAAAACAAGUGAAUUAUUAACGCAAUAUAUGGGAAUAUACAUUGCCUUUGUUGCCAAAUUAUCGGUUUCACACAGAAUAAUUAACAGAUAAAUAAUUUAAUUUUUUAUUUUAUAAAUAUUAUAAAAUAAUUUAUUGAAUUUAAAUUAUCGAUGCAAAAUAUUUAAGCUCAUUUAUUAUCCGACGUUAAAUUAUUAGAAUAUCAUAACUUCAUUCUCGUUCUCCGUGCUAUUUUAUAUAAAAUAAUUUUACAUAAUAUAAUAUAUCUUUAUUUUAUAUUAUACUUUAUUAUAUGAAGUAUAUUAUUUUUUAUUAUUUUCUACAUUUUAUAUUAUACUUUAUAUGAAGUAUAUUAUUUUUUAUUAUUUUCUACAGUAUUAUUGAAUUACUUACUGUGCAUAAUGCAAGGGCAAACUUGGUAUUCUAGAAAAUUUUAACCUACAAUUUUUUUUUUGGGCUGUUCUGCAUAAUUCUAAAGAAAAAAACCCAAUACAAUUUUGGUUAUUCUUGAAAAUAAGAAAAUGUCAAAUCAAAUACAAAAUUUUUUUAUUUCUCUUUUUAGUUUAUUUGAAGAAUUCAAAUAUUUAUUCUUUUUAAAUAUUAUCUCAUUACCAAAUGCAGCCUCGUAAAGAUGGUGUUUCUAAAUUGCUUGAGAUAUGCUAAUAGUACGUCCAAAAAACAAGUGUAUAAUUCACACUCGCCUACCCAAGGUUUAAAAGCCCCUUAUAAAUUUUUAAAAUAUUUUUAAAUUUGAUAAACCAUACGAAAAUAUUGACCCUCGAAUGAGUAAGACAUAAAAUAUUAGCCACCGUUUUGAUUUGGGGUUAAGUAAAAACUUGUUAUUUCAGGAAUAGAGUUAAGUUCAGAAUUAAGAUCGGGUUAGAGUAAUUUUGUGUUUGGUUGAGAAUUGGAUUUAGUCCAGAUAUAGAUAAAUUAGUGUUUGGUUGGAAUAUAUGAGAUAAGAAGGAUAGUGGGUAAAAUAGCAUUUUGUUUGGUUAGAGUAGUGAGGUGGAGUUAAGGAAUAACUUCGGAGUUAAGGAAUUUAAGAAUAACUUCGGAGUUAAGGAAUUAUUUCACCUUUUAACCCCGAACCAAACCGGUGCAUAGGGUUCCUGUCCCCAUGAAACUGAUACUAAUUCAGUUGACUUAGAAGACUUAAAAAGUGGUCCACAAGUUUUCUUUUUCUUUUUAUUUUUUUUUAUUCAUUGCAAUCCUUCUUUUAUUAUAUCUCUUUAACCUGACAUAGCCAUGUAUAGCAGUUGAUAAUCAUCAAUCACAUGUAGAAUCACCAUCUGGUGUGUAUAUGGUUUAAGUGAAACUUAAAAAAUAAAAAAAACAGAGGCUUUCAUGUAAAGUUAACUCCCGCAGGACUGACAGGUAAAUUUGUUGCUAAUAAAUCAAACUGCACAAGAACAAAAUCAUUCUGAUAUGGUGGCUAAAAGUACUAUUUUUCUACUAUAAAAAAGUUAAAUUUCAAAAGCACUUUUAAUCCUCCCUUUCGUUAUGCUAUAAAAUUAAAGUUGCAAUCGUCACUAGAUAAGCAAAUGAUUUUAUGCUUCUUCGGUAGCGAUUGCAACUGCAAUUCUAACAUUGGAGGAUGAAAAAUUAAAAGUGUUUUUGAACAUUUUGGACCUUCAGUAAAAUAGUACUUUUAACCACUACAUUACCCAUCUAGGCCGUACUCAGCUGAAGACACAAAAUGGCUGGGAGAGAGCUCCUCAAGAGAGAGCGCUUCUAACCAUCAGAAUAGGCUGUGCAUGGAACAGUAAAUCACUAAUGCAUUCAUUAAUGAACUUACAAAAUUGACUGCUUGUAGAAGCAGAACAAAAGAAGGUUCUGUAAAUAUGAACACACAAAAGAAAAAAGGGAAGAAGAGGAAGAAAAAAAAUUGCUGCCUAAAGCAACCAGCUACAGUUCCCUAAUCUGGAUAACUUUUACAAGCAUCUAGUCCCAUCUGUACACUAUAAAUUUGUUUUCACGUAACUGGUUCAAAAAAUAAUAUGAUUUCAACCGGAAAUUAGCCGCAUAACCUAAACUAUUAGCAUCAGAAAAGGGGGAAAAGAAAAAAAAAAAAAAAAAAAAAAAAAAAAAAAAAACACCACCACCUCACUGGAUAUAAGUUAAAUUAUUAAGUCGCAAAAAGGCCGAGCUGCCACCACAGUAAAAGCACUUUUCAGUAACGAAUUCUGUACAUAUGCCACGCAGCUUAUAGAAGUCCUUCCUGAAAGGUGAUAAAAAUCCAGCAUUAACAAUCAUAAAUUGGCUAGCAACGAAGUGAAUUUCACACUAAAGAAGGGAUAAGAGCAAGUGCUAGAAAUAAAUGAUGAUGACGAAAGCAAAUUGAUGAUGAUGAAAGCAAAUAAAUGAUGAUGAAAUCUUAUGAUAUGAACAUUAUUUUACAGAGUACUGGCACCAUUCAAGGAAAACAAAUAAAUGAUGAUGAUGAAAUCUUAUGAACAUUAUUUUACAUAGUACUGGUACCAUUCUUUUGACGUGUAUAUAUGAUUGACAAUGCUGGAUUCUAAAAACAAUGGUUCAACAUUAGUCACCAAGUAUUGGCCCAUAUACACAAUAUUAAGUAUGCCAGACAAGUGUAAGCCAAGUCUAGAACUAACCAAUUCAGAUUCACUUUCGAUACCUUUCAUUCACACAAAAAAAAAAAGAAGGAAAAACACCUUUGGAUCCCAAUUUGAUAAAUUGGAACGGAACAAGCUAGGUUGACAAGUUGGUCUGCUAAACAAUCAUACACUCCUAGGAUCAACCAAUGUGGCUAAAGAAGAAUUGUUCAAAUAGGAGAAUGUAAGAGUUCCUUCCACAUUACUAUGGUGGCAUUGUUAUGGUUUGAAUAAUUUUGGAAAUGAGUAGCUGCAUUAAUCAGAACAGAAACAAGUAAAGUUUCAUGCAGCAUCUAACUAUUCCCGCAAUAAAUUAUAUGAAUCCAAAUUGCAGCUAGCAUUGUGUAUAUUCCUGAUAGUGCUCAAAUGACAAAUAACUAACAAUAAAGAGAAUGAGCUUUACCAAGCCUGCUUCGUUGCCUCUGAACUCUCGGAAAAAAAUAUAUCAACCUGAAAAAGUAGAGGUUGACAACAUCUAGCUCAUUAGCGAAGAGGGUCAUCCUAAGUUGCAGCGCAACAUCACCAGUGCUUAGAAGAGACAACAAAAUAUAUCAUUUCAUUUCUACCAGUGUAGCAGAGCAGAGAGAAUAAUUUGUGCAUCUCUGUCGAAUAGUGACCAUCAACAAGGGUGGAGAUGUCAAAACUUAGGAAACUUGCUACAAAAAAUGCUUAACCCAGCUUAGUCAUUGUUAGCUUCACGCUCCUCGUCUAACUUAACUACCACUUCUGAAGCACAGUAAACUGAUGCAAGCCACAAGUAUAAGCAGGUUUUCCAAAAGCCAUAUCAUCUUCACAGCUGUCAGUAUUUUUUUUAACAUCAUCACAGAUAUGGCGAGGCUUGACAAGAACUUCCACAGAAAUCUCAUUUGAAGUGCUUAAUUCAGGCCGAUCAUCGAUUCGAGUACAAACAGCAUCUGGUGUCACAGAAGAAAUGGCACUAGAGCAGUGAGAUUCAUCCCUUGUCUUGCAACUCUCCAACUCGAUAGGAGAAUCCUUGACUUCAUUAAAUAUAUCAAAACUCCGAUCCUGCGAAGAAACUUUGAUGAAAUCACUAGGACUUUGUUCAAAAGAACCUGCAACACCGUCUGUUUUAUUAAAGGUUUUCAGCGUAUUGCUGUGGCUUGAGGAAACCUUAGGCUCGGGAAAGACAGAUGACAGCGAGGUAUCCAUGGAGUCAGGUGUAUUGUGACAAUCAUGCAGCUUCUGACGAUAAUUAGAAUCAAGUGGAGCGGCAUUAACGAUAUCCUCGGAACCGUUUGUUAAACUACCUCCAGAUGAACCUUGACUAUCUCCCAGAAAGGCAAUAUUUGUCGAGUCAGAUGCAGCAUUUCGUUGAGAUUCUUGUUUAGCAGAGGAAAUAUCACCCAGUUGUGUUUGUUUGGCUUCACAGCUAUGUACUGAGGAAGUGUCACUACCAUGAACUGGUUUUGCCACAAUAUCAGUAUUCACAAUCAUUAUUUCUAGAGUAUCAUCCACCUUUGCCUCGCUGUGUAAUUCAUCUCUAACUUCAGAUUUAAGUUGCUCUACACAUUCAUUAUGGCGAACAGAUUCUGGAGUAAGAGAAUUCCCAUUAGUAGCAGACUCUGCUGAUUUGUGUAGAGGAAUUUGAGCAUCUUUGACCUCAUAUUUUCCAUUUACAAUGUCAUCAGAGGAGUGAAGGUUGGGCUCAACAGGUGCGGAGGACCUAUUAUCUUCCGCAAGUGUUUGAUGAUGCAUCUUAUCAGAUUCACCCUUGUCAUUAUUGCUGGCAUUCACACAAUCACUUAUGUUAGAAGCCAUAUGCUUUUCAGCAUAAUCUUUUCUUGGUAGUUGCUUCUGCAAUAGACCCGUAUCAGGGAAAACCAGCAAAUUCACAGACCUAAUCUCCAAUUCUUGUGAUUUCUCGAGAGGUUUAAAGCUGAACACCGUAGUCCAAGUGUCCUUCAGUUCCGCUAUCGCAGGUAUUACAAGUUUUUCAACAUUAAGCGAGCGGAGAGCCUACAAAGAUGAUCAACAAUUAGUCUCAAAACAAACUGCAACGAUGGAAGGUGAAAGCAAAAGUAGCAGUCUUAAGUAUUAACUUCUCAAAAAUAUCAUAUCAUUAAAAUAUAAGAAAAGACCAAGAUUUACAGUUUUACACACACACACACAUCAAAGAAAAAAAAAAACUACAGGAUACUAGUAACUAAAUGUAGUGAUUCAGAAAGGAAGCUACAGGGCAUUAGAGACAGCAACACUUGGCAGUGAUAGACAAAUAAUUCUUUACGAGGUCUGAAGAUAGACAAACAAUUGCUUACCAGGAACCGAUAAUGGUAGCAUAGGAAUAAAGCGUAUCCCAUAAGAAGAUCUGAAGGAUUUUCCUUUAAAAAAAAAAGGAAAAAAAAAUGGCAUGGUGCUGCUAAAUAACAAUUUCCAUAGUGCAAAAGGCAUAGAACCAAAUAUGUGGAAAAAGAAGAAGUACGAUGAAAAUGUUACAGAUUGGCAAUUUAAAGGAAUAAAAGCCAACAUAAAUUACCGAUUCAAUCCCAUACAGAAGACGGCGACACAUCCCUUUACGCCUAUACAUAUUUCUUGUUCCGAUGAAGGGCAUUUCUGCUAAUCGGGUGCCAUGAAUUCUGUUUUGUGCACAACAAACAACAUAAGCCAAAUAAGGAACACGAGCUUUAAGACUUUGUAAAGCCUUCCUAUCAUAAACUAAUUUUCAGAUAAAGAUUAUGUGCCAUUUACAACAAUUAAGAAACAUCUAAUGAAUACGCUUCAGUGAACACAUAAGCACAUAACAGCACAUGAGAUCACCCUCGUCAAUAAAAAAUAUGGUUCAGUCUUAAAGCCAAAUCGCAUAAAGUUUAAGACAUGCUCUAGACACAUCAAGCAAUACAUAUAUAAUAAAAAGGAGAAUCAAUUUAGACUUCCCAAUGCCAUAGGAUAAUAACAUUAAAAAGUAAGUAUCAUGACAUUAAAAAAAAAAAAAACUUAAGCAUAAGUAUAAUGACAUAGAAAAAAACUUGAGCAUAACUAUAACAGCCAAAAAAUCUUAAGCUCCUAUGUGUUAGAUAGAUAUAAGCACAGGAAUAAUGAUAUUUAAUUUUUUUGUAAAAAAAAUAAAACCUGAUAGAUGCAGCAGAGAUAAUUUCAUCGCCUCGCUCCAAGAUGAAAGUAUAGAAACCACAGUAGUUUAGCCGAUGGAUAUUAGAUCUACAACAAAAGGGAAAGAAAAAGUACGAUUUAGAAAAGCUUAUUAAAUACGCAAAAGAAUUAUUCCAUAGACUCAGCACUUCCUACUAACACAUCUAGUAAAAAAUGUUCUAAAAGCAAAGGCUCAACCAAAGCUUACCCACAGUUAUAUACAACAUUAUGAAUCAGGUUAAUGCCACUUCUUGGGUCAGUGAUGGGUCGAAAGCACUCAUCCAUAACUGCAAAAGCAACUGCAAUCUUAGAGUUGCAUUCAACCCGUUGAGAUAGCUUGCUUAGAGACUCCAAGGAAUCCUCAUCAAAACGACGAAUCAGGCGCCAAGAGAAUCCAGCUUCCAAAUCAUUUUUCACCCCAAGAAGUUUCUUCAACUGUUUAAAAACCUGGGUAACAAAGAAUGGCUUCAUCCUAGUAACCUUAAAAAAGGAUUGUUUGACAUAAUGUACACAGCAUUACAAGUACAUGCAUAAUGUACGUUAAGAACUUUGAGAACAGAUAAAUUCCCAUUAUUAUGACAUCAAACAUAGUUCAUUCCUUCCUCAAUGACAUCUUCUUGGAGUGCAUGUCACCACAAUUUAAGGGACUUGUACUGUAUAAUUUAGGAUGAAAAUCUAUAUUUUACUCAAAAUCUACACAAAAAAAAAGGAAAAUGUAAAUUACUUCUUGCAACAAUCAGAAAUGCUAGCAGACGCUAAAAUGACACAUAGCCCACUGAAAUCACAAGACAUAUAGCGGUGCUUCCAGAUUAGUACAAAAGCAUAGUUUCUGAAACCAUCUUUUGCUUUAGUUGAAUGGAAAACCCUACCAAUAAUAAAAAACGUUAUAUCAAUAAAUUGUAUAGUGAAUUUAUAAAAAGCUAAACCAACAAAAAAAUAGACCAAUCUUUGGCUUAUGCAGUCCUAUGGAAAAUUUGACCUGUUGGAGAAAAGCAUAAAGUGACCAUCUUACAAAGAUUUGAUAAAUAAAAUGUUCAAAAUAAAAAAUAUGGCUAGUACCAUUCUGCAACUUUGCCCACAAAAUGAAGUGCUUCCAUUGUUGGGAGGGACAGAAGAAUAAUCAACCUCAGGCAUACAAUCUUGGUGGUCUACAAUGAUUAAGUAGUCAAGAAAAGUUUCAUCAUUCCAAAUAGUUUACAUGUUAAAUAAUAAUUGACAAAAUGAAGGGUAUAAUAAAUCUGAUAUAGGAAGCCAUACAUUUUUUCUCACACUGGGAGCAAGAUAACAGUUGGGGAGUAGCAGCAGAAGAAACUGAGCCGCAAAACCUGCACACACAGUUUGUACAGUGCCAUUCUCCAGGAGGAAGCAUCUGCAAAGAAAGUCACAAGGAACCCAAGUUAGGACAAGGAUAGACAUCAUUAGGCAAAGAGACAUACGAGGAAAUCAAGGUUGCCUGAUAUCUAUUCAAUAGAAAUAUUAAUAAUACAGUAGUAGGAAAGGGAGAACACAAUAACUUUUUCCCAUUUUAAUGCCAUGCUCGUCCGUUCCAACCCCAUCCCCCGCCUCCUAUUCUCCAAUGAAUUAAAAGAAUAUUCCCCUCAAGCCCAUCCCCCUCUCACCCAACAACCACACAUGGAAAAAGGGAAACAAGAAUUAGAACGAGAAGAACAAAAGGAAUGUAGACUACAGACUGAAGAAAUGACCUUGUUUUCAACACUCGUCAUCAAGAAUAAGAUGGGGCAGUAUAAACAACCAAGAGCUUAUUUUAAUUACCUGAAUUCCCAAGCAACUCAAAUGGAAAGUUGAAGGACAACCAUCACAACAGAUCAAAUCACCACCAUCUCCACAAAUACCACAAGUAUCAUCGUUAGGGUCACCAUCAAGAUUUAUUGAAUACAAUCCACGCCUUUCAGACUCAUCCAGCUUCUUCCAUGCAUUAAGCUGACAUUGCAACAGGGAAACUCCAGCAUCCUCCACAAAGAUGUUCUCAUAUGGCCGGUACUCUUUGCUACCAGCAUGAAGCUCAAACUUCCACACAGUAAGAAUUUUGCUGCAACAGCUGCAAUGAAUACCAUCUCUUGUAAUCCGGCCCUCUAAUUUUGCUCGUGUUCUCUUCUUGUUCAUGUACUUCACCUUCCCUCUUUCAUGCACAACCCCUAAAUCUAUCAUCCAGGAGAGAACAGUUCGUUUCCAAUCAUAAGGAAUGUAAUCAUCCAUUUCAUCCUCUUCCUCUUGAUUAGUUCCACGGACCACAAGAGCACAAGUUCUUUGCUUGGUUCUUUCCACCAUAAGAUGUUUAUGUGCUACAAAACCAUCAACGGCUUUUGAAUUUACAACCAAAGAACUGAACCUUUUGCUCUCCUCUAUAGAGUUUCUCCCAGCGGAACCUAGCCUUGCCAUUUUGCUUCCACUUUCUCCAUACUUUUCAGUUUCUUCAAGCUCUCCCUUACUUUUUCUCCUGUUAAUCACAUUUCUCUUUAACAAGUCUAAUUCAUUCUUUGUUAUAGCAGGAAAAGGAUGACUUGUUCCUCCUAGGUCAAGAUCCCUUUCUUCAGGUGAACUUUCAGGUACAUCCUUGCACUUGCCAUCAUUUCCAAGAUUCAACUGCUCUUGAAACACGGCAUAUGCCUUGGUGAUAGACCAAUAACCUGUUCCUUGAGGAGACACAUAAACAGAAUCUUCAUAUGCUCUACUUCUCCUGGGCCUUAAUUCAAUUGUCCAACCAGCACUCAAAAGCAUUUGUUUGAUCUGAUCUCUUACUUUUUGCUUAACGGUGCUGCGACCUGCAUUUGCUUUACCUACAUUAUGCUUGGAUUUCAAAGAAGAAUUAUGUGUAUGUUCACCAUCGAACAUUUGGUCACAUUUCCUAUCCAACAUAUUCACAUCCUUCAAAUCUCUUCUUGAAGAUGUAAAAUCUGACUCUCUUUCCAGUUUAAAGGAUCUGCUUUUCUCAACUUUUGGCCUUUUAUGAUAGUAUCUGGCUAUCACAUUUUCCUGCUCUAUUUCUAGCUGAUGGGAGGUGUCUGUCUCAGCUUUGUGCAGUAGUACUUUUUGGUUAGUUGCUUUGCUAUUCCCAGUCGGUGAAAUUUUCUUCAAGCUCGCUCGACUUUUCCCUACUUUAGUUGAAGAGUCCGAUCUUUCAGUAGAUUUUCUUUCUCUAUAAAUAUCAGGUUGGUUAAAUGUGAUAGCACUUUUUGCAACACCGGGAGACUCAAAGCGCUUGGAUUUCUCUUCAUCUCCCUGACAAAUCUGAACUUUUUCAACCCCACCAACUUUCUUCUUGCUAGGAUAAACCUUAAGAACACCACUUUUUGCUUGCAACCUUAUACCUUUGCGUCGAAUGUCAUCACCCUCCGCUCUAGUUGCCACGACAUCGCUAGCCUUCAAACCUCGCACCUUCUCAUGCCCUGUAUAGUCUCUCCUUCUGAUCUUUUCCUCUGUUGAAUUGCUAGAGCUAUUCAAAACAAGUCUCCCCUUCGUUUUCAAGCCAUCCCUCUCUCUGCCAUCAGGAUAUACUUUGUAAUCACAUUGCACAGAAUCGGAUUUCAGCUUAUUCCUGCAAGAACCCUUGACCUGUCCAUUACUGGAAUCUUUCAAAGAUCCCGUCUUGAUCUUCUUGGUGAGUUUUUCAUCACCAGGCAGCUCUCUGUUCCUCUUCUUCUCCGACCCUGAAAGCAAUCUCUUCUUACCAGAGCCAGAACGAGCAUUAUCCGACCUCAUAACCUGAUUCUUAUCCCCCUCGAUCUCCGCCUCCUUUCGAUGUUCGGCACCGACGUGUUUCAUAACAAUUGGACCAUCCCCGUUCUGAUAAGAGCAAUCCUCCGCCUUUCUCCGCGGACUAAUGAAGUAAUCAUCCGUCUCUGAAUCACUGGAUUGAAGUAUCAAUCGCCUCUUCCUCUCCUUCUUCACAUCAACAGAUUUACGCAAAGUUGCAGAAUCACAAGUUCCCUUCCCCUUCCUUCCAAAAUCGCCUCCUUUCUCCACAAACGACAUCAUAAACCCCAAUCCACCCAAUCCCAACCGAACAAAUCACGCCAAAUCGAUCGAAACACAACAAACCAAUCGAAUCAAACCACGAAAACACCCAACAAAUCCGUCCAUCCUACAUUAAACAAAAAAAAAUAUCCAAGAAAAAAAACCAAUUAAAACCCGAAAUCGGGAUCGAACAAGGAACUUUAAUCGGGACAAAAGCUACCUCGCCGAGGAGAUCACGCUCACGAGAUCAUCCGAUCGAUGCCGAAGCGAUCGAGGAGAUCAACGAAUCAAAGAUGCGUAGAACAAAUUAGGGUUAGAGAAUUAGGAAGAGAGAGAGAUGGGGAGAGACGCGAUUUUAUUUUCUUAUUUUCUUUUUUCCUUUUUCCGUCCUUUGGGAAGAGCGUUUAUAUACUUUGGUAUCGCGACCGUUCUCUCCCGGAAAAACACACGGUGUAACAGUUACAUGUCACGGUUUCUGAUACUGACAUGUGGGCCCCUUUGUCGUGGGUCCACGUGUCAUCCUAAUCGGAUUCGGUUUACGGUUCUGUUUAUACGGUGACGUUAAUUUCUUUUCUUUAUUUUCGGGUUCCCUCCAAAUUCUCUGUUGUGUUAUAAAGAGAUUGGGAUCUUUGGGACCGCAUACUCGCAAAGGUGUUAACGGGUUGGAUUAUAUUCAGAUCCGUAAAAGAUCCUACCAAUAAAAAAAUAGGGGUUAAUUACAUACAGGUAAGCCACAGAUAUAGUAAAUUACAAAUAUAUUUCUAUAAAAUUUAAUUUUUAUAAGUUAUUCCUACAAAAGUCAUAAUAAUUUUUAAGAUAUGUCCUUAUAACAAUAGAUUAAAUACUUUAUCCUAGUUAAUUUUUGAUAUUUUUACCCUUUUUAUAUUAUAUUUUUAUAAUUUUUAGAGUAAUAUAUUUGUAAUGGCAAAANAUGCGAGUACACUUACAUACCAACACAUUAAAUUACUAAUAAUUAAUUAGAUAAUCAAUUAUAAAUAAUAAUUACUUUAUUAUUAAAGUUAAAUUUACAUUUUAAUUAAUUUUUGUUCCCACUUGAGAAGAAACUUGUUUUAGAAAAAAUGAUGAGACAACAGUUACAAAUUUACACCAGGAUAUGCUUGUUUAUUUCAGAAAUUCGAGAAUUACUGUUUUUUUAAUUAAUUUUUGUUCCCACUUGAGAAGAAACUUAUUUCAGAGAAAAAAAUGAAACAACAGUUACAAAUUUAUAUCAGGAUAUGCUUGUUUAUUUCAGAAAUUCGAGAAUUACUGUUUUUGGGUAUUAAAAAUUAUAUUUGAAAACAAAGAAGGAAACAAAGACUUAUUCUCCCCUUUAAUAUAUUUUGUUAUUCUUCUUAAUUCUAACAAAAUGUCUCGGAAAAAUAAAUAAAUAAAAAAAAAACGUCAAUUGAAAGCAAGCCAAGUAGUUCCAAACAUCUGAAUAAUUAGCUUCGCACAUGAAAACCCACUUGUAAGAGUACAUUGCUUCACAGACUUAGCUCUCAGGAAGAUUGAACAGUGAAUCAAUCUUCCAUAUAGAUUGAGAAUCCCCUGGCACAAGAAGCAGAAAUAUUUAACUGAACAAUGGCUACUUUUUUUCACAAUAUUAACNUGAUAAGAGCAAUCCUCCGCCUUUCUCCGCGGACUAAUGAAGUAAUCAUCCGUCUCUGAAUCACUGGAUUGAAGUAUCAAUCGCCUCUUCCUCUCCUUCUUCACAUCAACAGAUUUACGCAAAGUUGCAGAAUCACAAGUUCCCUUCCCCUUCCUUCCAAAAUCGCCUCCUUUCUCCACAAACGACAUCAUAAACCCCAAUCCACCCAAUCCCAACCGAACAAAUCACGCCAAAUCGAUCGAAACACAACAAACCAAUCGAAUCAAACCACGAAAACACCCAACAAAUCCGUCCAUCCUACAUUAAACAAAAAAAAAUAUCCAAGAAAAAAAACCAAUUAAAACCCGAAAUCGGGAUCGAACAAGGAACUUUAAUCGGGACAAAAGCUACCUCUCCGAGGAGAUCACGCUCACGAGAUCAUCCGAUCGAUGCCGAAGCGAUCGAAGAGAUCAACGAAUCAAAGAUGCGUAGAACAAAUUAGGGUUAGAGAAUUAGGAAGAGAGAGAGAUGGGGAGAGACGCGAUUUUAUUUUCUUAUUUUCUUUUUUCCUUUUUCCGUCCUUUGGGAAGAGCGUUUAUAUACUUUGGUAUCGCGACCGUUCUCUCCCGGAAAAACACACGGUGUAACAGUUACAUGUCACGGUUUCUCAUACUGACAUGUGGGCCCCUUUGUCGUGGGUCCACGUGUCAUCCUAAUCGGAUUCGGUUUACGGUUCUGUUUAUACGGUGACGUUAAUUUCUUUUCUUUAUUUUCGGGUUCCCUCCAAAUUCUCUGUUGUGUUAUAAAGAGAUUGGGAUCUUUGGGACCGCAUACUCGCAAAGGUGUUAACGGGUUGGAUUAUAUUCAGAUCCGUAAAAGAUCCUACCAAUAAAAAAAUAGGGGUUAAUUACAUACAGGUAAGCCACAGAUAUAGUAAAUUACAAAUAUAUUUCUAUAAAAUUUAAUUUUUAUAAGUUAUUCCUACAAAAGUCAUAAUAAUUUUUAAGAUAUGUCCUUAUAACAAUAGAUUAAAUACUUUAUCCUAGUUAAUUUUUGAUAUUUUUACCCUUUUUAUAUUAUAUUUUUAUAAUUUUUAGAGUAAUAUAUUUGUAAUGGCAAAAUUGAUAAUAUAAACAGUUUUCUAAUGGCUCUCUAACGGUAACAAAACAGAGGAAUAUAUCUGAAAAUAUUAGAACUUUUGCAACUAUAAUUUAUGAAAGUUGAACUUUAUAGGUAUAUAUUUGUAAUUCAUUAUGUUUGCAAAGACUUGUAUAUAAUUAAUCCAAUAUAUAUAUAUAGAGAGAGAGAGAGGGGGUUGGUAUGCAGUAAAAUCAAAUAUACAGUAAAAUAUAUGAUUUUAAAAUUCGUGCUAUUUACAUGAUAAAUUAUAUAAAAAGGGGAAAAAAAAAUAAUGGGGAGCUCCCUUCACGAGGCCUCAUUAAAGAGGCCUAAUCCGAAGACACGUGUUAUUUUUAUCUCUAGUCAUAAAUUAUAAUUUUUUUCUAAAAUUAAUUUUAUUUUAAAUUUUUAGUACUAAAAAAAUAUUUAAUAAAUAAAUAAUUCGAUGAAAGUAAAAUUAACAUAUAGUAGCAAAUCUGAAGGUUCUCACUAAAGUUUUAAUCAGUUGGAGCGGUCUCGAAUCAGAGAUCGUCCCACCAAAUUUUUAUUCUGAAUCUCGACCAGAUUUAGUGCCAUCUCAUCACUUAUAAGUUAAUUAAUGACUAUAAUAAUGAAUGUCAAUAAUAAUUCUUUUUAUGGUACAAAAGAAUCACUAUCAAACUUUAUUGGAAUCCACUCGUUCUUUAUUACUAAAGGAAAAAACUACAAAUAUCAGUUUCGUACUUUUUCACUUUAAUAUUCUGUAAUUUAAAGUGUAUGUAAUUUAGUACUAUAUGGUUUCGUACUUUCUUAUUUUAAUAUUCUGUGAUUUAAGUGCAUCAAUUUAGUACAUUGUGAUUUUAUUUUUCUCUUUUUGUCAGCAUCUCUAUUAAUAUUUCGUUAAAUUAUAUACAAAAACAUUCAGAUAUCCUACUUAAGUUUAUCGAAUGUUUAUUUUAGUAUCCUUUAGUUUUAACUUUAUCACUGAUUUUUUUUCUCCAUUAAUAUUUCGUUAAAUUAUAUACAAAAAACUUCAGAAACCCUACUUAGUUUUAUCGAAUAUUUAUUUUAGUACCAUUUAAUUUUAACUUUGUCACUAAUUUAACGAAAAAAAUUAGUAAAAUAGAUAAUAAAAAGAGAAAAAUAAAACCACAAAGUAUUAACUUUAUACACUUUAAAUCAUUGGGUACUAAAAUAAGAAAGUGAGAAAUCACAGGAACUAACUUGAUACACUUUAAACCAUAAGAUACUAAAGUGAAAAAAUAUGAAACCACAUGGGGUUAUUUGAAGUUUACCCUUACUAAAAUUGUACACGGUAUUAUGAGUACUAGUUACGGAACCCCGCGCGUUGCGGCGGAAAGUCGAUAUAAUAGUCAAUUAGUAGAACUAUUAAUAUUAUUUUUUUUAUUAUUCAUUAAUAUUUUUGAAUAAUAUUUAUUUUCGUUGUGAGUAUAUUUAGAAAAAUAUAUUUUCAUUAAAACGUAAUAUUUGCCUGACAUGCAAAAGUUUACCCAGGAAAGGUUCUUUCUCUGAAGAUNGAGAGGCGCCAUCACGAAGGCGGAGAGGACGAAAGGACGGUGAGGGGGGCCAAUGCCGCGUCGUACGGAAGAACACGGUUGUGUUCCCGAGGGAGGAAAGCGAUGGCGUCGCGGCUACGAAAGGCAGGGGGGGCGCCUCCGUACGGGUAGGCGGAGAGCGCGAAGCGCGGGGAGGCUUCGGAAGGGAGGGGGGCGCCGCCGUACGGGAGGGCGGAGAGCGCAAAACGCGGGGAGGGCUCCAACCCUAUCGCCCUUUCAUAAGCUUAUAUUGAUUGAGUUUGCCUUGGGCUUCAUUAGAGGGAACAGAAAAGCUAAUAUUUGACAAGGUGGCCCCAUGAUGGUUCAUGGUUGUAGGGGCCCUACCAUCGGAUGAAAAUGGAUCGGAUAUUACAAUCCGAACCCGAAACCCAAAAUUAGCGGAUAUGGAUUAGAAUUUUACUAUCCGAUUCAGAUUCAAAUUCAAAUUUGGAGUUAGAAAUUAUUUUGAAUUGUCCUAAUUAGAAACUAAUUAUGCUAUUGUUUAAAUAUAUAAUGUAUCCUUUAAGUCUAUAUUUGACAUUAUUUUUUAAAAAAAUUAUCAAAUUUUUUUUAGUUUUUCUUAAUGUUUUUAUAGGUUUAGAAACCUUAAGUACAUGAUGGUAAUUUUUUUUUCCCUUUUAGUUUUAUAUUUAUUAAAUAUCCAAUUAAUAUUCACAUCCAUUUGAUAUUUGAUUCUCACCCGAAAUCAUUUUUAUCGGAUAUCAAUUUAAAUUUUAGCGUCUGAUUAAUAGAGUCCAGCUAUUAUGCUAUCAAUAGCAUGAAGCACUCGAUACUACUAAGUUUUUUACUGUUAGAUCCACCCCUAUGAUCGUUUUCAUCUAUUAGAUCAUACUAUUCAACCAACCACCUACUCAACCCUAGAGAGCCCACAUCAUUUUAACCGCACAUCUCUCAAUCCAAUGGUCGAAAACUUGGUAACACCAAUGAUUUGGUGCUAUUAAUAGCAUAGUAGUCUAGUUCCUCGAAUUUGGAUACAGAUUCUACAUAAAAAUAUAAAUAUUGGUUCUGGUUUUCAGAAAAUAUUUUAGAAAAUAAUUUUUUAACUAAAAAGGUAAUUUCUUCCUAUUUGAUUUCUAAAAAAAUAGGUUUUCCAUAAGCUUCUUUCAGAUUUUAUAAAAAAAUAGAAUUUUUAUUUUUCAAUUUUUUUAGAAAUCAGAGGCCGCGCACCCUCCCUCUACCUCUCUCGCCUCCGACCCUGCCGAGGCUAUGCCACAAUCCUCUUUUUUUUUUCUUUUUUCUUUUUGAUCAUUUUCCGUAGCCUUCUCAGUUCUUUACAAUAGUAAAGAAGACAACAUCACAUUCCCUUUCUCUUUUUUUUUUUUCUCUUGUUCUUUUUUUUUUUCUCUUCAACCUCCCAUCGCCUUUGUGACCCUCCACGGACUUGACUCGGAAAACUCCUGGCCAAGAUACAUGAUAUGUGGAAAGAGUUUUUAACUGUGUUGCUAUAUUGAGUUGAUUUUAGAUAUUCUAGUCAUAUGGUCGAAUGAUAAAGUUUGGUGAGUAACCAUAACCUUAGUUCCAUUGGGACAGUAUAUGUUGGAAAGAAAUAAUCACAUGAUAACUGUAAGCGAAAAGAUUUAUUUUUUAUUAUUAUUCUGGAUUGUCGUGAUAUACUGUUAGGUGUCACUCACACGGUGAGAGAAUAUGAAUGAUUUGAAUUAAAUUAUUCUUAUUUAUUAAUUAGAAGAGUUCUAAUUAAAUUUCAAAAAGUUUGAUGUUGGGCUCCACUUCUGAAUGGUAAUGAACUUAUACGGUCACACACAUUACGUAUUGUGUGCAUACUAAAGAGUUUAGUGUAAGUAAGUGAUGAAAAUAAAAAGAAGCUACUUAAUUAAAUUAGAUUUAAUUAUUCAAUUCACUUAUAACUGAUAGACCUAAUUAGAUUAGGAUUUCAUAAUCAGUUUGAAAAUUAUGCACAAGAUUUAAAUUUAUCUCUAAUUAGAUUAGUGGAUAAUAUUUAAUCAUAAAAGAUAUUUAAAUGAGAUUUAAAUAUUNCUGCACACUCCCCUGCCUCUCUCUUACAUACAUAAAACAGGACAUCAUGCGAGGCUCAGGAUUGUGAAUCCCCUAAAAGUAAAGGACCACGUCAAAUACUGCAUGGACUGGAUUUCUGCAACAAUAGCCGCAGGUUGCAGCGCUUGCCUUGAGGCCGCAGCGAUUGCCUCGAGGCCAUUUUAGGUGCCAUGCCACUACGGAGAAAUUCAUAAGAGAAGGCAGCAGCAAAAAGAAAGGGGAAAAAAUAUCCAGCAUCGCAAAAGCAGCAGCAAACAGAGAAGAACCAGAUUUUAAAAAAGUUACGAAUAUAAGUAAGAAAACAGAAAGAACUUAAAAGCCCAGGAAGGAAAGGCAAAAAACAGCCUAAGACCACAAAAAAUGAUCAACCAAACAUGUUCCUUCAAACAGCAUGGAAAGAGAAACUGCAAGGAAAGUAACACACACACACAGAAACGGCAAGGAAAACAAUAUGUUUAUAUAAACAAUAUGUUUAUAUAUAUAUAUAUAUAUGUAUAAAGCUAUAUAUUUAUAUUAGUGUAUUCAUCUGUUGGUGGAGAUGGAAGCCCACAUGUAAAAAUUUAUGUCAAUUGGCAGCAAGAGUAGGUAUGAGUAGGCAUGCGAAUCUCAACACUCCAUUAGAGAGGUAGAUUAUCAUUUCAAAAACACCACAAACAUGUUCAAGACAAAAAAAAAAAAGGACCUAAAAGCUGUAAGAAAAUUAGAGUCAGAGCAUAGUAAUAACCUGCAUUGAUAGCAAUAAAACACUAACCAAUUCCAAUAGACAAAGUCUCCACAUCUGUUUACCUCGGAUCUGGGCAGGUUCGGCAACUUCUAUCAGCUACCCCAACACCUUCCUUUUACUCUGUAAGGGAUGAACAAAAUACCAAGGAAUUAUUGAUAUACUAACAUCGCCUCGCCCCGAAACGAAGCAGCCACAAAGAGAAGAAUAAGCAAAGAGAUAUAGAAACCAACAGUGCAGAAUCCAAAAAAUUGCUAGCAGAGUUUGUUUAAAUUUGUAAACUAUUUUAGCAAAGUUUGUUUAAAUUGUUAGCAAAGCUAAUUCAAAGUAACCAAUAGCUAUAAAGAACUAUGGUGGACAUCAUGUUAAAAAAUAAAUCUUGGCUGAAAUUUAUGCCUUUAAAAAUUUGAUACCAACUAAGAAAUUCCAGUAAGAAAAUGAGAAGGCCAUAAUCUGGAUAAGUGCAACAAAAAAUGUAAAUAAAGUUCAUAAAAUACAGAUUCAUGCGAGGCUCAGAAAAGCAAUCCCAACGGAAAGAGAACCGAAAACAUUCUAGUAAAAAAUGCAAAUGAGAAGGCCACAUUCUGGAUAAGAGUAAGAAAAAUGAAAGAAAAAAAUGUUCAUGCAUAAAAGCAAACACAAUGAAAAUCAGAGCUGAAAAAACUUUAGUAAAAUGCAAUUGAGAAAGUCACAUUUAUAGAUUCUCUCUANAAUAAUUAAAUAUUCAUAAUUUCUUAUGAGAUAAGGUUUUUAGUAGAUUUGAUCUAAUUGGAUAAGUAUAAAUAUUUAAUUGAAGAGAGAAAAUUUUAUUAGAUAAGAUUUUAUCUGAAGGGAUUUAUAUAUAGGUAUAUAUGUACAUCAAUGAAAGUGAAUAAAAAUAAAAAUAAAAAAGGGAGAACAGUACGGCACUAUUAUUAUUAUGGUAAUUAAGGUGCCAUGCGUCUUAAUUGAGUAGAUAUGCUAGUUUUGAUGUACAUAUGUAUAAGCAUGAUUUCUCUUCUGUGCGCGUGUUUCUUUCCGAUCAACUUUUCUACCCUUCAUCGACUGGUGGGUCAUGAAGGGGUUGCUGGCACCAUCAAAAUGGUCCAUGACUCAUCUGGUUCGUGAGAGAAAGAUUGAUCGGGUCGCCAAUUCCAUGUGGAUACGCGUAGAGGUCGGGCAUGUGUGCAGCUAAUCGGAAUCUCCGUUUGUCAUAUUUAGUUUCAAUCGUACAGUAAAUCAAGAGAUCUUAAUUGGUUCACGGUAAAAUCUCUAAACAUAAAGAGUUUUCGUUUAGAUUAAAUUUUUGCAUAGUAAUAUAAAAAUGAUCUGCCGGCUACGGUUUGAUUUAUUUGUUUUCGAUUUUGAUAUGUGAAAUGUAUUUGACUUUCGAAAUAAUUUAAAAGUGCAAAACUAAUUUCUGAGUUUUUUUGAUCUACCGGUUAAUUUCUAACACCACUCCAUUGGCAAAUCCUUCACCCUCGCAUCUACCCCGCACACCCUCUCUCGUGCCCGCACACCCCCCAUCCUCGUUGCCUCUGAUCCUGUUGAGGCCACGCCGUACCAAGGGGUGGCGCUUUUAGAUGUAUUCUAGCUCAAUUAUUGUGUAUAUAGGAGUAAAUUAUAUAUUUUUUACUCUAAAGUUCUAGUAAUUUUAAAAUAAUUAAUAAACUUGGUAGAAAAAAUAUAAGUUUUUGAAUAGCUAAGUUGUAAUAUGCAUUGCUCUUUUAAUAAUUAACUAAUUAUUACAAUUCAAGAAAAUGAAAAUUAUAGAGUAAUAUAUAUCUAUAAAAUUUGUUCAUCAACAGAAUAAUAUCUAUAAUAAGUAAAAAAAAAAAAAAAAGAGGUUAACAUAUAAAAAUCAGUAAAACAAUUGUAAGUAGGCAAUGUUUUAUUUUGAUGAUCCUAAAGAAAUUCCUGCACUGUACUUUGAUGAUCCUAAAGAAGAAGAAGAAGAAGAAGAUGAUGAUGCUGAGAAAGAUGAGGAAAAUAAAGAAGAGAUAAAAAAAAAAAAGGAAGAAGAAGAGGAGGAAGAGUAAGAGGAAAGGGAAAAAUAUGAAGAAUAUGAAGAAGAAGAAGAGAUUACCCUCCCCCUCAAAAGAAAACAAAGAAGUGGACAGCCCCUCAAAGAAACCAAAGAAGUGGAGACUAAGCUUUCAGAAAAGCAUUAGUUGUGUUGCUCCAACUACUAAUGCUACUUAAAAUUUGGAAGCAUGGGGUAAAAAUGAUUUUUUAUUUCAUCUCCUAACAUUGGAGAUGAUUAAUGCUCCGUGGAAUAGGGUAAGUAUCAACCUUUAUGUUGUUUUUUCCCUGCUGUUGGAAGUUCAAGGCAGAUCAAAAGUAACUAAAAUGUAAACUGCACGUAACUGAAUUUGUUGCUCUUACAAUUCAAAUGAUGUUUUCUGUGAAUCAACAGCUUGUUCUUAAUAUCAUGUUUAAGGAGAGGUUCACCACCGAGCAGAAAAGAUAAAAUUAGGAGCUCUGGGCCUGCUUAUCGCCACUUCCUUUCAUCAUGCUAAAUUCAGUGGAAUGUUCAGCUAGCAGAAAAAAUUUAAAACUUCUACUAUGGCGAAAUGCUUAAAUACAAUCCAAUCUUCAAAAAAACAAUGACUAAUCACAAUAGGGAGCGAUAUUGAAAUACAGCUAAUAAAAUAAAAGCAAACAGAGUUCAAGCUACAUGCCAGAAUUUCUUGUAAAUUCACUAACCAGGGAAUACUUUCAUUUUCCUUAUAUCAUUGAUUGUAUUUUUGAAAACAUUGUGAAAUGCAUUAGUCAGUAGGUGUCAAAAGCUCCCACGCCGAUAAUGUCUAGAAUGCUACAUAAAACUCAAUCUUAAUCCCCUCGAAUUUUAAAUUAUCCGACUACCUAAAACCUCAGGUAUUCUGAUAUUCUGACUGCUAGUCUGCUUUCUUGCUUGAUUUGUCAUCAGAUUCUUCUGCAGCAGAACUGCUUGCCGAAUCAUCAUUCGCUUUCGAUUCGUCGUAUGCCAAUAGCUGAAAUUCAUAUAGUUUAUAGUUUAAUAAACCAUGACAAAAAUUUUCAAAAAAAUAAUAAAAAAAAGUGAUAAUUGUCAGCUCAUAUAAAGUUUAACUCCAAGAAAGUAAACUCAGAAAGUAUGAUGUACAGAACUAACCGGUUUUACUUCACCAUUCCACAGGCAGUGAACAGCCACAAAACCAACAACACCAGGCACUAUGUAUAGAAGUGCAGGCUGCGAAUGCCAAACGCAUGAGUAAAAAUGCAGGGAAAACAAUCUACAAAAUCACGCCGAUGAAUGCAAAUAAGAGCAGUCACCUGUGCAGCUUGAAACCAGUUCAUCACAAUGAUUGUGAGGAUCAGGCCUGCCGCGUAUCCAGCAAAUGCACUGUUGAAAUAACGAUUCUGUUUCCCUCUCGACACAUCAAAGCGCAGAGCUAAUGCAACGAAAAUACCUGAACAUUAAUAGGAAAUAGUAGUCAUAAUUUAGAAGAUUGCAAUAUGGAUUAUGUUUCUUUAACCAAUUAUGGCCAAGACAGCAUUUUCCAGCGCUAAUACUAAAUCAGCUAGUUAACAAGUCGACAGAAACAAAUAUUCUAAGGAAUUAAUAACCAGCAAACAUAAUACGGCUAAAACUUUGAUCAUAUUUAUGUUGUAUAGAAUGAUUCUACUUCCUAGCAAUAAUUCAAUUUCAUUAUUUAUUCACUGACUCUACAUUUAAGAUGACUUCCCAAUCUGGACAGCUUCUCAUUUCUACUGGCUCCUACGAGGAUAUACUUCAUUACGUCUAUAAAAAAAUGGAGACGAGAUUGCUAAAGUCUCUGCUCUUUGUUGGGUAGAAUACGACAUCAACUCCAGCAAUAGUAUUCGACAGAGGGAAGUAAAAUAGAAGAAACGGAAAACUGAUAAAUUUUGUAGCAACGGCUGAUGUAGUUUAUACUCUAUCCUAGCCCUCAACUUCAAUCCUCUCAUUCUUACACAGAGAAAUAUAUGCAUUCCUCUCAGUUAGAUAAUACAAAACUACUUGUAAGAAGCUACAAUUUUUAACAGAGGCAGCCCUAAUUGAAUAUGAUUAGGCUUUGUAACAACAAAAUUCAUAAACACUCACGGAACCUCCAGAAUUUCUAAGAAUUCACAUCUACUGAAGCAGGACAAGAUUACUCAACUUAAAAUAAGUUAAAUAGUUAGCCACCAAAGAAAGAAAAAAAUAAUAAUAAUAACAGAAGUAAGUCGUUCUCCAAGAAUUAGUACAUACCAGGUAUUACGAUAUCACCAAGUCCAAGCAUAGAGAAUGGACGUGCAGCAUCUGCUGUAGGAAAUAAAAGCUGCACAAGAGAAGACAAGUAGAUCUCAACCUGCAUGCUAAUGAACAUUGAAGAUAUUGCAAACCGAGAGUUAAAAAACAAGAUGCAAAAACUGACCUUUAUGGGAGCAUCAAAAGAUUUAGCAACACUAACCAUCACUGGAGUAAAGAAUACCCAGAAAAUGUCAUAGAUAAAGAGACCAGCCUACAAUUGAACAAAUAGGAAGUCCAUAGCUGAUCAGAACCUUUUUGUCCAAAAAAAAAAGGAAGAAAAAAUGAAACUAGAAGAAAAAAAGAAACUAGCACCGAAAUGAAGAAAUAUCAGAACAGAAAAAAUUAUCUAAUACAAUCUGACAUCUCUAUGCGAUGAUAAUGAUACUUGGGGCCAUAGCAUGAUGAUUAGAAUGCGCAAUUGAUGAACAAAAACAAGUCUGAGAAUGAAUAGGCUGGACAGAGGUACCAAAUGGACUGCACUCCACAAAUGCAUAAGCACAAGAAUUUAUUCAUUAUCAGACAGUUCAAAUACAUUUACUUGACAAAACUUAAAUCUGCAAGAAACACAAAAAGAUACUCAGAAAAUAAAAUAUUUCACUGUUGAAGAGAUAAUUUUGUAAUUCAGCAUACCAAAAGAAUGGCACCAGUUUUGAAUGAUCCUAAUGAGAGCAUCUCAAUUCCCUGUCAAGCAAAAAGAAUAAGGCAUCAGAAACGGCACCACAAAAUAGAUGUCACUUUCCAUCAGAAUCAAUAUAUUUGAAACAUCAUCCUUUUCUAGAGCUAUUGAAAGUUAACAACGAAAUUCACAACAAGUUCAAAUGCAAAAAAAAAAGCUAUAAUAAGUCUGUGUGCAUGAACAUGAGCAGGUGCACAUGUCUACAAAUCCGAAAGUGUCUGGGAAUGUAGUGAAUAGGAGCUUUUCCUCCUUAAUCUAUCAGGCAAAAUUUUCUCAUUUCUAGACAAGUUAAGAGUGGAUAUUCCUUCUCCUUUUCUUUUAAUGUGAUUAGCGAGCAUGAUAAGUUCCCAUAUUAGCUCUAUGCUCUCUUUCCUUUUACUCUCUGUAAUUGUUGAGCGCACUGGAAAGCCACAACCUAGUCCCUAGAAGCACACAUAUAAAUAUCGCAAAUAAGGGAAAAUGCCAACAAAAAUUUUGAUUAAAGCAAGAAAAUAUAUGUUCCUUCUUCCACAAAUUUUUCACAUAUGACACUGUAUAUCCUAGAGAGAAACCCAUAUGUUUUGGUGCACUAGUACAAACAAUUCUAAAUUUAAUGCAUCGAAAGCCUCAGAGACGUGAUUAAAGCACACAAAGGGUAAAUAAUCAUUAGAGUCAAUCAACUAAAAAUUUGGAGUUGCAAGAAAACCUGAAUGCAGAAAGCAAUCCCCAAAACAUUGUUUGCCAGCCAAUGCUUCUUUGAAGCAUACCAUAUGCAGAAAAAUGUUCCUGGGAUGGAAGCAACAACCUGAGACUUCGUGAAUUCCACUGAAAUAGCUGCAUUCAGUUAAGCAAUAGACCUAAUUAUUAUUGAAAUAGGAUGACAAUGAAAUAGAGAUGCGCAUGACAUCAAAUCCUUCCAGGUAGUGAAGAAAAUAUUCAACUUAUCAACUUUCACGUAAUGCCAGUUUGAGAAAAAAAAAUCUAGUGCAAUUUGAAUCCAAGUAAUAUGCAUUAUUUGAGACACAAACUCUAUCCUGCUCUGAUAUAAUUCUCAAAGCACGAAAUCAAACAUCAGAGGAAGUAAAAAGACUAGGACUUUUCUAAUAUUUCAGUAACUGAAAGAUCUACUAGUCCGUCAUUCAGGGGGGAAAAAAGAAGGAAAAAAAUUAAAGGACUUCUCUAAUAUUUGACUAACUGAAAAUUUAUUAGGCUACUAUCCCUCAUUCCGGAAAGGGGGAAAAACACUGAAAGAGAACAAGAGGGGGAAGAGAAUGCUUACAACGAAAAAAUGGAAUAUGCCAAACUAUGACAUUCUCGUUCCAAUCUUUUGGAAGAAAACGCUUAAUAGAGGGCAGCAACGUCGCACUACACGUGGAAACAAAGUACCAACAUUAAUAAGCAACAAAUUUACUCGACCAACUACUGUAUUUUAUCACAAAGAAUGAAAUUGCAGGAUCUGGGUCAAAGAGCAAUGACAUACGAAAGAGCGAUGACUCCAAGAACAAAAAAGUAACAUGUCAGAACAGCAUUAACCAAAUCCUUUGAGAGAAACUUGAAGAGGAGAAACAGAGAAAGAAGCAUGGCACUCCCGACCAAAGGGAAGCGCAUAGCAUGCUCGUUUGACAUAGUCUCCUGCAAAGAUUGGAAGUGCUCAUCAGCAGUAGCAUAAAAUCUAACAUACCGAUAAAAUUGUGAGUAACAGCCAAUAAGUGCAAUUUGAGAGACAAUUCUCACCGACGGCAGAGUUGGCUUCACCGAACGGUAGCAACCCACAUAAACAGUCAGACAUGCUGUUAGGAUCACAUUCAAAUUGGGAUUCACUUUAACGACAAGCGGAGCUAAGGUUAGAGCUGCAAGAAAGCAAUAAUCUUUACAUCAAUGUCGAGAAUACCAUACAACCAACUUCUCAUUCUAAGAAAGCACCAUUGAACAUUUACCAAAAUAAGAUAAACAAUACCUGCAAGAGCUAAAUUAGCAGCACGUUCAUGAGUCUUCAUCAUCAGCAACUUCUGAGUUGAAAAAUAGCAGCAACAAAUUUUGUAUGCAAGGAAGUUAUCUAGACCUUCUCGUAACUCAAAAUGGAGGAAACAGACCUCGACGCUCGCCUACACUACAUAGAGAUGAAAAUUAGGUAUUCAAAUCCCUCCCUUCUUACGAUCUGAGAAUUAACAACACAGACACGAAUCAUAUACCCUUCAAAGAAGCUGAUCUACACCAUAACAUAUGAAAAAGCUUAAAUUUAUACUAGUCUAGAAUGGGGCGGAAUCAAAUUAGUUAUAUAAAUAAGAUCACUUGUAUUUCUCUAUUCCAUAUUAAAUUACCCAAAAAAAGCACCUGUUUCCUAGAUCCAUCCUCCACAAAAAUCCAAAUCUACAUAGGUUCACAAAGAUCAAAGGAAAAAUCCCUCAAAAAAAAAAAAAACCGAAUACACACGCCAAAAGUGGAAAACGUCUGAUUAGGGUUUACCAAAUCUUCCCGGAGUCAACAAAAGCCACCGAUCUGGAUCCAAAACCCUAAUCCCCACGAAGUAUUUCGAAGCGCGGAGAUCGCGAGGGAUUCGAUCAACAGAGAGAGAGAGAGAGAGAGGAGGGAAAGUAAUGGGGCGUUACCUUCUUCGUCGAAAGCGUCGAAGGGGUUCGAAUCGAGCGAAGAGGAGAAGAGGAUGCGAACCGCGUGGCAAUGUCGAAGGAUGGGUAAGUUAGUAGGGGGGUAAGUUAGUAGGGAGAGAGGGCGUAACGUGGACCAGGUCUACCACCGAGACGGACCAAUUAGAAUUUGACAUGUGUAGGGCGUCUACCACGUCAUCUGAGAGGAAGUGUAGCAAGGAAGGAACACACCAAAUCAAACCUCACGAGCGCGUUCGACGGCGGCGAUCGCCGGAGAAGGUGUGGGAGGUGGAAGCUUCUGGACGAUUCGGUCGGAGAGGCGGGAUUUUGAAACCCUGGGCGAGAGAGAGGUGCGAUAGAGUGUGCUGAAAUGCAAGCGCGAUUUUUUUUUUAAAUUAAUUUUUAUUGAAUCCGGCUACUAUGCUAUUAUUUUAGUUACUAUCGAGUUUUCUGUCCUUAGGUAAUACAAUAAUACAAUAAUAAAUUAUUAUAAUUAUUAAUAUAUUAUUUAUUUCAGUAUUGAACAAUAAAAAAUUAAAAUAUAAAAAUAAGAAUGAAAUUAAAGUAAAUUUCUUUCUAAAAAUAUUUAAAUCUAAUAAGUAAAAUAAAUAAAUAAGUAUAAAAUAAAACAAAAAAUCAGUAGAUAAUAUAACUAAUAAAGUAUUUAAUUCCUAAAUUUUAAUUAGUGAAGAACAGUAGGUAAUUAUCAGAAGCAAAAAAAAUAAGACAAUCAAGACAUUCGAAAUCAAAACAGAUAUAUUUACACUGUAAAAAAUUCAACUACCCAUAAAUAAUCUUAAUAUUAUUAUUUUAUUAUAUAUAAAUUAAUUCUUAAAAAAUUGUGUGACCUCACACCCUCAAAAUAAGAAAAAGGCCUUCUUUAGUAUUGCCAAUUCAUAUAUGUUUUGAGGACUAAAGAAAAAAUAUACAAAAUUUAGAAUCAAAAUUGGCAUGCAAAAAAAGUUAAAUAGGCGAUGGCAUGAUAAUUUUGUUAAUUCUAAAAUAUUUUUUAACGGUUGCUAUUUUAUCGCGAUGAAAUUAAGAGGUUUAAAAAAAUUUAUUAACAAAAAAAAUGAUGGAAAGUUUGGAAAGUACUAUACAAUUAAUCCUAAAAAAAUUUGUGGGCCACACAACCCUCUAAAAUAAGGGGAGAUAUUUUUUGGAUUCCCAAUUAGAUGAAAUUUUAAUUUUGUUAUCUUGACUUUUAAAAAAUAAAAUUUCUCUAUACGAUAAAAUUUUAUAUUUAAUAUAGAGAAAAAUAUAAAAAAAAAGAUGUUGACAUUUAUUAGCUGAAAUUUUAAUUUUGUUAUCUUGACUUUUAAAAAAUAAAAUUUCUCUAUACGAUAAAAUUUUAUAUUUAAUAUAGAGAAAAAUAUAAAAAAAAAGAUGUUGACAUUUAUUAGCUGAAAUUUUAAUUUUGUUAUAUUGACUAUUAAAAAAUAAGAUUGAUUUAUAUGAUAAAAUUUUAUACUUGCUGUAAGCAAAAAUAAAAAAAAGUUGUUGAGAAAAAAAAAAGAAGAAGCAAAUGAGAGAGACUGAGAGAGAAAGAGUGAGAGAGAGGAAAAAGAAAAAAAAAAAAAAAGUGGGCCCCAUCGGAAGCCCCCCACACCCCCCAACCCAAACUCGGGGAGGCUUCCUUUGGAUUCCCAAAUAAUAAGUAUAUGUAAAUAUUCGUUAGAUUAUACUAUGCAACCAAUCAUCCACUCAAUCUUAGAAAAUUACUAUCAUCCCAACUAUACAUCUUUUCAUCCAACAGUCGAAAAUUCAAUAGUACCAAAUGCUUAGUACUAUUUAUAAUAUAGUAGCACAAUUCAUUUUUAUUUAUUUGAGUAACCCAUCGGAUUUUAAUUAAUAAUUAAUUAAAUUCCUGGCGAUCUAUCGACUAGUAUAAAAAAUUUUAUGUUUUAAAAAAAAUUAUUGCCUAGACAUCAAAUGGUAUAAAAAUCAAAAGCAUAUACAAAUUUAUGUUAGAUUUAUAAAACUAGGCGUAAAAAAUUACUUUUUUUUACACGGUCUCUUGGAAUGUUAUAGAACAUAUUACAUGAAUUACUAUUUUGAAUUUUGUUUGAUGGAUGAUGUAUAUUUUUUUUACAAUAAUUUGCGAGGGAUGGGGCUUAGGUGGUCGUUUAAAUCCUAGUUGUCGGGAUUGUUCUAAAAAAUUAAAUAGUUUUAUAAUUAAAUAGUUUCACACUUCCUUUUUUACAUUAAAAAAAUUAAAUAGUUUUAUAAUUUUUGUAAAAUCGAAUCAGUUUUUUAUCAGAGUUUACAAAUUGAGUCUAAAUUUGUUAAAGACAUUUUUUUUUAUUUUUUUAGAAAAAGAAGCUUGAAGCUUGUAAUAUCAAUAUCAAUAUCAAUACCAAUGCAUUAAAGGGCGAAACCUAAACUGUUUUGACGGUCUCUCCGCAAUUUCGGUGGAAUGGUCCGAACUCCCCCCCUCCCCUGCACCCUCUUCCGUACAUCUCUCUCUCUCAAUUGCACUCCUCACUCUCCCUCUUGGAACCCUAUAUGCCUAGGGUUCGUACUCUCUACCGCGCAGCCGCCGCUUGCCCUCUCCGGUGAUCCAGGAAUUUAAUGCGGCCACGGAUCCGUAUGGUGCUCAACCGGCGCCUUUUCCAUGGCCUCUCUGUGAUUUUUGAUGGAAUGGUCAGAACUUCCCCCUCCCCUGCACCCCUUUCUGUACAGGUCACUUUCUCUCUUUUCUCUCUGUGUUCAGCAAACCCUUUCGUUCCCCCCUCUCUUUUUCUCUCUGGGCAUAUGGCAAUUGCCGGGGAACAGAAAAAUCUGAGCCUUACUUUUGUAACAUGGUAGGUCGACUGGCCAUAUGGCAAUCGCUGUUGCCUUGGGGCAUCAGCAUGAAAGAACUAAAAGAAAAUAGAAAUACACUCUUUGAUACAAAGCUGUGAUGAUGAAACAAACUCCCUGAUGGGCCUAUUUCUCCUCUAACAACAUUUGCCUAUGUUACUUAGUUGCCUUUUUUCAUACAUUCUUCUUCCAUUCCCAAUGACAUGACAAGUCGACUGGGCAUAUGGCAAUUGCUGCAACCAUGGGGCAUCAGCAUGAAAGUACUAAAAGAAAAUAAAAAUAUGAUGAUAGACAAAGGCCUACUCGUUGGGGUUUGAGCCUCACUUUUGUAACAUGACAGGUUGACUGGUUAUAUGGCAAUUGUUGCAGCCUUGAGGCAUCCGUAUGAAAGAACUAAAAGAAAAUAGAAAUAUGAUGGUAAACAAAGGCCUACUCGCUGGGGGGACAAAAAAAUCUAACCGUUACUUUUGUAACUCGCUGUUCUCUGAAGGAUUACAAACAGUUUAUCGUCUUGAUUGCAUGAAGUUUUAACGAAUGCAAAUUACUUCUUCUACCAUCUAUAUUCUUAUUAUAGGAUUAUAAUAUCGAAAAAACAAUGCUUUUUAAGAGUUAACUACUUUUCGUUGUGCUUUUUGUUUUUUUUUUUCAUCUUUCUGCACUUUUUCCUCCUCCCUCUUUUGCCGCAAAUUUAUUUCCGCUGUUGUUAUAUUUGGUAGUCUAUUUAAAAGUUCUACUAUUUUUUGUUUAGUUUCUUUGUUUUUUUAAUUUAGAAUAGGUUCACUGCUAUCUAUAUCUAUAUAAAUUUAUGAAUCGAGAGUUCUUAUACAAGUGGCGGCAAAGGGAAUAGGGGGCAAGCGCGGGCGCCUGUGCGGGAGCCGGCGAGGCGCGGGCAGGGUGCGCGUGUGAGAUUUUUUUUAUUUUAAUUUUUUUUAGGGAUUGAGUUUUUAUUAAUCCAAUCUUUUUUUUAAUAAAAAUUUUAAAUAUAUAAUUUUUUAUACAUAAAUUUUAAAAUCUAACAUAUAGAAUGGUUGGAUAGUACCGUGCUCGCCCCCCGCUCCCUUCGCACAGGCGGGGCACGCGUGCAAAAAUUUUUUAAUUUAAUUUUUUUAGGGAUUUAGCUUUUUUUUUUAAUUCAAUCUAAUUUUUUUUAUUAUAAAAAUUUUAAAUAUAUAAUUUUUCAUAUGUGAAUUUUAAAAUCUAACAUAUAAAAUGUUGGAUAGUAAAAAUAAAAUUUUAAAAGAUUGAAUAGAUGAUUCAAAAUGAUUCAUCAUUUAGAAAAAUUUUAUACGAUUUUAUUUUCAUUUUAGUAUCAAACUUUAAUAUUGUAUUACAAUCUGAUAAGCGAUUUAAUUUUACAUCUAUAAUUUUUGAAAUAUUCAAAAUAUGAUUGGUCGACUUUUAAUUUUAACAAUUACACAUUAUAAGAUUUGUUAGAUAGUUUAACAUAUUUUUUCUCGAAUAAAAUGACUAAUUAAACAAAAUCGAUCGAUGCUCAACUCUAUCUUCAUUUGGAAUAAUUACACUUUUGGUUUAGUAAGACUCGUGACAAUUGUUCCAAAUAUUUUUUUUAAAUAAAUAUUGUGAUCAAAUUGCUUACACUUUAAGUCUUCAAAUUAGUAAGACUUAGUUUGAUAUUGAAGUCUGUUGCUAUUAGAUAAAAUAAAGUUGGGAUAAAAGCAUCUGCUUCUAUGUUCUUCAGUGGAAUCGUGAAAAAUAUAUCGUAACCAACUAAUCGUGAAUAUGCGGAACCCAAUAUUACGUACGAAAACAAUUUGGGUAUUUUCCAAUCGUAGUUUCUCACACAAGUAAUGCAAUCUACUUGCAAUCCUAAACAAAACGUUAACCAGUGACAAUUGUUCCAAAUAUUUUUUAAAACAAAUAUUGUGAUCUAAUUGCUUAAUUAAAUAUCAUAAAUAUAUAUGUAUCACUAAUUAUUAAAUAUUUUAUUAAUUAUUUAAUAUACUGUACGAUGUAUGAAACAUUAAUAUAUACUAGGUGUAAAAAAAGAUUUUUUUUUUCUCNUAGAUGAUUCAAAAUGAUUCAUCAUUUAGAAAAAUUUUAUACGAUUUUAUUUUCAUUUUAGUAUCAAACUUUAAUAUUGUAUUACAAUCUGAUAAGCGAUUUAAUUUUACAUCUAUAAUUUUUGAAAUAUUCAAAAUAUGAUUGGUCGACUUUUAAUUUUAACAAUUACACAUUAUAAGAUUUGUUAGAUAGUUUAACAUAUUUUUUCUCGAAUAAAAUGACUAAUUAAACAAAAUCGAUCGAUGCUCAACUCUAUCUUCAUUUGGAAUAAUUACACUUUUGGUUUAGUAAGACUCGUGACAAUUGUUCCAAAUAUUUUUUUUAAAUACUUUAAGUCUUCAAAUUAGUAAGACUUAGUUUGAUAUUGAAGUCUGUUGCUAUUAGAUAAAAUAAAGUUGGGAUAAAAGCAUCUGCUUCUAUGUUCUUCAGUGGAAUCGUGAAAAAUAUAUCGUAACCAACUAAUCGUGAAUAUGCGGAACCCAAUAUUACGUACGAAAACAAUUUGGGUAUUUUCCAAUCGUAGUUUCUCACACAAGUAAUGCAAUCUACUUGCAAUCCUAAACAAAACGUUAACCAGUGACAAUUGUUCCAAAUAUUUUUUAAAACAAAUAUUGUGAUCUAAUUGCUUAAUUAAAUAUCAUAAAUAUAUAUGUAUCAUAUUAUGAAUUAAUUAUUUUAAUUAUUUAAUACUAAUAUUAUUAGCCAUUUACUUGGAUAUAGAGAGAGAGAUACAUUUUUUUAUGAUGAAUGAAGCUAGAUCAAUUAGACGGCUAGAAUUAUAUAAGAGAUAGAACAUUCGAUCUUAAUGGCAAUGCCAUAUUUUAGAAAGGCCCGAUUGGGAUCUAUACUCAUGUUUUAAUUACACCGUACACCGACUCUAAAUUAUGUGUCAAAUAUAAAUUUAUAUUAUAUAGUAAAUUAUUUAAGUAUUUUAUAUUAUAUUUUAUUUUACACUACUGAUUACUAAAUAUUUUAUUAAUUAUUUAAUAUACUGUACGACGUAUGAAGCAUUAGUAUAUACCAGGUGCAAGAAAAAAUUUAUUUUCUUUCUUGAAACUAUGAGUACAUUAAAUUAAGCAUUCUCUGCACCGAGUGUAUAUAUGCAUUGGGUGUUACUUAAAAUCUUUUAAUAGAGAUUUGAAAGUCUAAUUCAUUCAAUAAAAUAUAAAUUAUUAACUUUGUAGGUCAUAUAUGUUUAAUUAAAUUUUGAUAUCAAAAUAUUUAUCAUCGAAUAUAAGUCGUGAUAUAUAGAAUGUUAAUAUAUAUCAUGUGCAUGUAACUUUUUAAGUAAAAAAGUUAUUUAUAGAACAAUUUUCAAAACUAUUAAAUUUGAUUAUCUUUUAAAUAAAGUUGUUAGAAUAUUAUAACUAAUCAAAAAUUAAGAAAAUAAUAAUAAAAUAUUAUUUUUUGUAAUGCACAUAACACUAUUUGAUAAUAUUUUUAUCUAGUUAUAAUUUUUUUUAUCUUACAAGUUUAAUAAUUAUAUAUUUAAAUUGAUUGAAAUAUAAUCUAUACACUGCGAAGCACGGGUCCUGCACUAGUUUAUUCAUGAAGAGGUUUUAUUUUUUGUAUUUUAGAAUCACCUAAUUGUAGCUUUCAAGCCACCGUACGUGUAAUAUUUCAAUCACAUUUUCUAAUGGCAAAACAUGAAAGCAGGUGAACGCUUUAAUUAUCCAUUUUAAGUUGGUGAUUCAAUUUUGCUUUUGAAUGCAACUCUGAAAAAAAUACAUGCGGUCCACUGCAUCAUAGAAUUGUGGUGUUUUAUUUUCUUAAUCAAUUUUUAUUUGUGUGUGUCUAUAUAUAUAUAGAAUUGAGCUUCUAUGCUUUUAAAAUUACCAAAUUAUUGGUAUUUGUAGAUUUUUGGUUUUUGGCUAUUAGAUUAAGGGAUGUACUGUUACAAUGGUGUGAAACUUCUAGGGUUGAGUGGGUGGUUGGUUGAAUAAUAUGAUCUAACGGGUGGAAAUGAUUAAAGGGAUAGAUCUUGGUAAAAUAUUUAUAAACACCGAUUCCAUAGCCAGACUAUAUAUAUAUAUAUAUAUAUAUAGCAUAAGCUCGGCCGCAUCAGUAGAUCUCUAACUCCUACGUCUAGCUGUGAGACUCCAGAUAGUCCUAUAUAUAAAAUAUAACCAAGAGGUUAAAAGAGUUAAGCAUAUAUAGUAGGACUAGUGUAGUCCUAGGAUGGGUGACCCCUUGGAAAGUUGGGACGUCACACCAGCAGUGCGACGCGUGAUACGGAUACUUCUUGCGUAAAAAAAACAGACAGCUACUUAACGGAUGGGCAAGCUUCAGUCUUGCAUAUCAGUUCUCUGUUCAAAAUAAAAAAUAAAAAGAUUAUUAAAAUCUGUUGAAUUAAGCAGCAUAAUUAAGUAAUAUAAGUAAAAAUAGAAAACUAACUCACACCGGCCACAAACUAGGUGUUUAUCACUGAAGCGCUCGUUAGUUCAACAAUUAUCCUUGGGAUGUGAUCUGAAAAAGCAAUCAAAAAUAAAAAAUAAAUGUAUUAAAUAUGUUAUGGCCUUUAUUUAUACCAAACAUAUUAUUGCCAAAUAUAAUUUUUCUUAAUCUAUUUCUAUUUGUAUAUAAUAUAUAUUAUAUUUAAUUAUUUAAAUUGAUUAAUCAUAUUAUUUUUUGGGUUGUUUACAAUGCAUUAAGCAUGCUACGGACUUAGGGCGUGCCGUUGGUAUUUUUUUUCUUCUUUCUUGUGUUUCUAUCUUCUAUUAACUUUUUUGAAUCAUUUUUUUCAUGUUAGUACAAAUAAUAAGUUAUGGUAGUUUGGCGAUAGAACUACUGCACAGGAAAUAGAAGCUACAUAAGAGAAGACAUGUAUAUCUAAAAAAGCAAUAAAAAAUAAAAAAAUAUAAAUGCAUUAAACAUAUUACGGCUUUUUAUUUAUGCCAAACAUAUUAUUGCGAAACAUUAUUUCUAAAUAAAUUAUAUUUUUUGGAUUGCUUAUAAUGCAUUAAACAUUUUACGACCUCUACUUGUGUCAAAUAUAUUAUUUCCAAACAUAAUUUUCUUAAUCAAUUUUUAUUCAUAAAUAGUUUAUGCUAUAAAUAAAUUACGAACCCCACUCUUUUUCAAUCGAACCUAUCCGAUUUCAGCACCGUCCCCUCCUCUUUUCUUUGGUAGUAAUGACGUCUGAUUCGGCGACGGGACCGGCCUCUUCUAUAGUGCUGACGCUUGAUUUUUCUGAGAACUUUUUCAAUUUAUUUCGGAUUCUCGUCGUAUCAGACGACAUGCCUUUUCUUGAAGCCGUUUCCAGCGGACUUAUAGCUAGCGGUUACUAUAGUAAUUUUUUUUUCCUUUUUUUUAAGUUUGUAUCUUUUUUAAUUUUUUUGAAUUAUUUUUUUUCCCAUGUCAAUGCAAAUGAUAAGUUUGGGUGGUUUAGCAAUAGAACUACUGCACACUAUAAAUACAAAGUUUCAUAUUAUUUUACUCGAUGCUUCUUUGAGAAACUUGCAGCCAUGGAUACUUUUAUAUCAUAUCUAAUGAUAUUUCAAAAUAUUUGUGUUAUUGGUCAGUAUUUAAAACUUUUAUGAAAGUUUAUAGUACAUCUUUUCUAGUAUAAUUAUUUUUAAUUUAAUUUUAUUUAUUAUUACAGUAAUAACAGCAAACUAUACGUCUGUUUUCGACAAGAGAAGUAUUGAUCAAGGGGCGUUACUUGUCAUCGAGAAGAACCGAAUUGAAUCAAUAUAUUAAUAUUUUGGCAAAGGAAAUAGAAGCUACAUAAGAGAGGCAAAAGAAAUAGAAGCUAAAUAAGAGAAGACAUGUAGAUCUACAAAAACAAUAAAAAAUAAAAAAAUAUAAAUGCAUUAAACAUACUACGGCCUUUUAUUUAUGCCAAACAUAUUAUUGUGAAACAUUAUUUUUCUUAAUCAAUUUCUAUUCUAAAUAAAUUAUAUUUUUUAGACAGCCUAUAAUGCAUUAAACAUUCUACGAAAUCUAAUUGUGUCAAAUAUAUUAUUUCCAAACAUAAUUUUCUUAAUCAAUUUUUAUUUAUAAAUAUCUUACGUUAUAAAUAAAUUACGAACCCCUCGCUUCUUCAAUCGAACCCAUCCGAUUUCAGCACCGUCCCCUCCUCUUUUCUUUGGUAGUAAUGGCGUCUGAUUCGACGACGGGACCGAUCUCUUCUAUAGGGCUGGCGCCUGAUUCUUCCGAGAACUUUUUCAAUUUAUUUCGGAUUCUCGUCGUAUCAGACGACAUGCUUUUUCUUGAAGCCGUUUCUAGCGGACUUAUAGCUAGCGGUUACUAUGGUUUUUUUUUUUUGUUUUUUUUCUUUUCUUUAAGUUUGUAUCUUUUAUUAAUUUUUUUGAAUUAUUAACCGCUAUGGUAAUUUUUUUCCCUUUUUUUAAAGUUUGUAUCUUUUAUUAAUUUUUUUGAUUUAUUUUUUUUUCAUGUCAGUGCAAAUGAUAAAUUUGGGUGGUUUAGCGAUAGAACUACUGCACACUAUAAAUGCAAAGUUUCAUAUUAUUUUACUCGAUGCUUCUUUGAGAAACUUGCAGCCAUGGAUACUUUUAUAUCAUACCCAACGAUAUUUCAAAAUAUUUGUGUUAUUGGUCAGUAUUUUAAAACUUUUAUGAAAAUUUACAGUACAUCUUUUCUAAUAUAAUUAUUUUUUAAUUUAAUUUUAUUUAUUAUUGCAGUAAUAACAGCAAACUAUACGUCCAUUUUCGGCAAGAGGAGUAUUGACCAAGGGGCGUUACUUGUCAUCGAGAAGAACCGAAUUGAAUCAAUAAAUUACAUAUUGUGGCAACUCGUAAUAGGAAAGGGAAAAUCGAAUUUAGAAAUAAAAAGUUUGAAUCAAUGUAUUACAUAUUGUUUCGUGGCAACUAUUCUUAUACCGAUCCUCUAUAAUAUUCUGUUCAGCACAUUCAUUGUAUUGCCCUCGCAUUUUCUCUUGCUCACUUACUGUAGCCCCUUCUAGAGAAUUAUAAUUAAUAUCCCUUUUUAAUAUCUUCAGCAGCAACAUGGAUACUAAUCACUCUUCUAAAGUAGUAAGAGUAGCUAUGUAUGAUGUUUGGAAUAGUUUGCUCCCUUUCAAUAUGGCAUCCAUAUAUAACUCUUGUAAUAUAACUGACUCCAAUGCUAGUAUAACUCUUGAUUUUCUUUUUUUGAUUGUUUUCGUAGAUUGCAUUCCGAUGGCGAUUGCUGAAGUAAUGAGUGUUUUAAGGAUAGAUACUCAAUCUGUCGCGAGUUACAUGCGGCUUAGUUUUCUAUUUUCACUCAUAUUGCUUAGUUAUGCUGCUUAAUUCAGUAAACUUUAAUAAUCUUUUAAUUCUUCGGUUUUAACAGAGAACUGGUGUGCAGGCUAUAGCUGACACAUCGGUUGGGCAACUGUCUUCUUUUCUUGAGUAGAUUGUUGCGCAAGAAGCACCCGCAUAGCGCUUCGUAGUGCCAGGCUUAAGAACUAGGGAUCCACCAGCUAACGCAGGCGAGCAGGACCAGCAGAUGCUGUCUGAUCUGGAGUAUUUACUAAAUGACUCUUAUUGGCCAGAUGAUGAGUUUAAUUUUCCAGAGCUGCAAUUUGUAACCAAUUAGCAGUAUGAACUUUAGCUGAAAAUUGUCUCUUAAAUUGCACUUAUUAGUUGUUCUCUGGUUAUUAUUAGUUGAAUUUGAGAUUUGAGAUGUAUUUAAGAUUGAGAUGUCAAAUAGCAUUCUGGAUAUUGACAGCGUGGGAGCUUUUGACGCCUACUGACUAAUGAAUUUAACAAUGCUUUAAAAAAUACAAUCGAUGAUAUAAGGAAAAAGAUAGUAUUCCCCAGUUAGUGAAUUUAAUUUUAUUUGUUAUUGUUGUAAUGACAAUAGACUACACGGCCCUCUUCGCCAACAAGAGUAUCGACCAAGAGGCACUCCUCGUCAUUUAAAAGGACCGGGUUGAAUCAAUAUAUUACAUAUUGUGACAAUUUGUAAUAGGGAAAAAAAAAUCAAAUUUAGAAAGGAGCUCGAAGUAUCGAGGAAGAAAGGUCAGUUCGGAUGACAACGCGAGAACCGAUUUCGAGCAUGCUUACCGGCUUGCCAGUAUAGGUAAUGUAGUAUAAAUAAUAUUUUAACACCAUAAAGAAUGAGCGUGGAUGAUCUGCUGUAGGAAAUAGAAGCUACAUAAGAGAAGACAAGUAAAUCUACAAAAACAGUAAAAAAUAAAAAAAAAAUAAAUGCAUUAUACAUACUACGGCCUUUUAUUUAUGCCAAACAUAUUAUUGCGAAACAUUAUUUUUUUAAUCAAUUUUUAUUCUAAAUAUAUUAUAUUUUUUGGAUUUCUUAUAAUGCAUUAAACAUUCUACGAUCUCUACUUGUGUCAAACAUAUUAUUUCCAAACAUAAUUUUUCUUAAUCAAUUUUUAUUUAUAAAUAAUUUACGCUUUAAAUAAAUUACAAACCCCUCUCUUCUUCAAUCCGAACUCAGCAUCAUACCCUCCUCUUUUCUUCGGUAGUAAUGACAUCCGAUUCGGCGACAAGACCGUCCUCUUCUACAGCGUUGGCGCCUGGUUUUUCUGAGAACCUUUUCAAUUUAUUUCGGAUUCUCGUCGUAUCAGACGACAUGCCGCCUUUUCUUGAAGCCGUUUCCAGCGGACUUAUAGUUUGCAGUUACUAUGGUAAUUUUUUUUCUUUUUUUUUGUUUUUUUAUUCUUUUCCUUUUUUUAAGUUUGUAUCUUUUAAUAAUUUUUUUGAAUUAUUUUUUUUCCCUGUCAGUGCAAAUGAUAAGUUCGGAUGGUUUAGUGAUAGAACUACUGCACACUGUAAAUACAAAUUUUCAUAUUAUUUUACUCGAUACUUCUUUGAGAAGCUUGCAACCAUGGAUACUUUUGUAUCAUACCCAACAAUAUUUCAAGAAUAUUUGUGUUAUUGGUCAGUAUUCUAAAACUUUUAUGAAAGUUUAGAGUACAUCUUUUCUAGUAUAAUUAUUUUUAAUUUAAUUUUAUUUAUUAUUGCAGUAAUGACAGCAAACUUUAUGUCCAUUUUCGACAAGAGGAGUAUUGACCAAGGGAUGUUACUUGUCAUCGAGAAGAACUGAAUUGAUCAAUAUAUUACAUAUUGUGACAACUCGUAAUAAUAGGGAAGGAAAAAUCAAAUUUAGAAAUAAAAUUUGAGUGAUCGGAGAAGAAUGGUCCGUUGGGACGACAACAUGAGAACCGGUUUUGAGAUUACGUACCAGGUAGCCAGUGCAGGUAAUGUAGAGUAAUAAUACUUUAACGCCAUAGAGAUGGGACGUGCAUGAUCUGCUGUAAAAAAUAGAAGUUAAAUAAGAGAAGACAGUAAUAACGGCCCUUGCAUCAAUACAUCAUUUCUAAAUCCUUGGCAAUGCCCCACCUUCACCGCAAUAGUUCUCCACACUGACAGUAAUGACGGCAAAGGCUCCUUCCGUUGCAUACUCCGAUCUCUCCCUUUCCCAGUUGCCUAAAUCCUAAACCCUAAACUUCUUCCUUUUUUUUCGUUUAUUACGUCGUUUUAUGUUAGAUUAUAAUUCCAUUCUAAAAUUUUUUUAUAUUUUUUAUAUUAUUAACUCCUUUUUUAUAUUUUUAUUUAUUUAUUAAUUUAUAAAUUUUUACUAAAAUGUUCGUAUCCGCCGCAUCGCGCGGGCCUCUACACUGUUAUGAUAUAUAAAUUAAUACGAAGCUUAAUAUUAUAAUUUAUAUUAAAAAUAUGAUAUAUAAUACAUAAUUAUUGGAGAAUAUAAAUUUACUUAUCAUCUGUAACUAUCAUUAAUUAUAUGCAUUAAUAUUUUUAAAUAUUAUUUAUCUCAAUUUUUAAUAAUUAAAUUAAAGAAUAAAAUUAAAGCAUAUUUCUUUCUAAAAAUAUUUAAACCUAGUAAGUAAAAUGAAUAAAUCAGUUUAAAAUAAAAUAAAAGCUCAUUACAGUAUUAAAAAGGAUAAAUAAUAUUUCUCUAUUAUCACCAAGAUAGAAUUUACAAAUAAAAAAAUAUUAAAAAUUUAAUUGGAGUGAAAGCACUAUCUUUGAUAUCUUUGGUGGCAAUGUCUUUAUUGUCAUUACUGAUGAUGAAAGGAAGCACUCGUUAACUUUUAUUGUCACAAAUACAACUAAUAAAGUAUUUGAUUACUAAUAAAAUUUUGGAUUAGCGAAAAAAUCAAUAGAUAAUUAUCAGAAGCACAAAAAAAAAAGACUAAUUAAAAGGCAUUCGAAAUCAAAAUAGAUAUUUUUUACACUGCAGAAAAAUUCAACUACCAAAAUAAAUAUUCUAAUAUUAUAUAUUAAGAAAAAAUAAAUUCUGUAGCUUAUAAUUAAGAUUAAUAGCAUACGAAUUAACAAAAUAUUACUCAUAUGAAUUAAAUAAUAUUAUUUAACUGGAGAAAAAAAAGCUAAUAUCAAAAAAUCAUCCAAGAAAUUUUUUUUUCAAAAGUUGCAUUCUCUCAUUUCAAGACAGUAAUUUCUUAAUUUUGAAAAAAUAAAAAAAAUUAUUCACAUUUUCAAUUAAAUAUCAUGAGUCAAUAGUCACAAUUCCAAGAGUCUUUAACUUAAUUUGAAUAUUAAUAUAUGAAUACCUAAUGUACAAAAUACAAUUACAUUGUUAAAAAGCUUAUCAUAAUUUUUAUUGAAAGUAGAAAAAAUUAUACAUUAGAUGCCGCUCGCUAAUGGCCCAUUAUCUUGUAUCUACUCUUAUGUAGCAAAGCGUUUGAGAUGAUUAAAAAAUAAUAAAUCAACUUGAUAGCUCAAAGAUAGUUGUUCUCAUUCAUCUUAAUUUAAAUUAAAUAUUUAAAUUUUAAAUUAAAAUUUUAAGUUUUGAAUGCAAAUUCAAAUAUCAAAAUCAAAAUAAAAAAAUGGGAAAACUUCAAAAAACCCUCCUGUGGUUUCAUAAUUUCUCACUUUGCCCCCAUGUGGUUUAAAAUGUAUCAAUUUGCCCCCCUGUGGUUUUAUUUUUCUCUUUUUCUUAUCAAUUUCAUUAUUUUUUUCCUUAAAUUAGUAAUAAAGUUAAAAUUAAAGGUACUAAAAUGAAUAUUUGAUAAAUAUAGAUGAGUAUCUGAAGUUUUUUGUAUAUAAUUUAACGAAAUAUUAACGAAAAAGCUACUGAAAAGAUAAAAACGAAACCAGAGGGGGGCAAAUUGAUACACUUUAAACUACAGGGAGGCAAAGUGAGAAACUACGAAACCACAGGGAGGGUUUUUGAAGUUUUCCCUAAAAAAAUUAACUUUAAAAUCAAAAUGUAAAAAAUUUUAGUUUGAAAUCAAAAUUUAGAUUCAAUUUAAAAUUAUAAUUCAAAAUUAUAAUUACUAAUUAGUUGAAAAUUUUAAUUUUAAGCUUAAUUCCGGAUUUAAAUUCAAAAUUUUAAAUUUUUAUUUUUGGGACUAAAGUGAAAAACAUACAAAUUUUAGGAACUAAAAUUGACAUGCAAAAGAAAAUUAAAUAAGCGAUGGCAUGAUAAUGUCGUUAAUUCUAAAAUAUCUUUUAACAGUGUCAUGUUAUCGCGAUAAAAUCAAGAGAUCUAAAAAUUUGAUUGCAAAAAAUAAAAAGAUUAGGAAACAAAAUAAAAUUAGUGAGAAGGUCGGAGACCAAUGUACAAUUAAUUCUUAAAAAAUUAUAUGUGGGCCCAUAUCCCCAAAAUAAGGGGAGGGCUUCAAACCUGUUUGGGAUUCAUGUAUUUGAUUUGAUGAUUUGAUGAUUUGAUACCGCAUAUGUGAACUUAUUGAAAACUAAAUAGAUCCAUAGUAACCAGAUGCAUUUACCAAGGAAAAUUAGAAUCAAAUAGCAAGACAAAAAUUUUAUACACGUUGCAACCUGAUAAACACGAGGCUAAAACAGUAAAUGGGUCCGAUGAAGGUGCAAGCCUGUAGCAUAAAAAUUAAUUAAUGAAUCAGAGAUAACCAAAUGGUAACUGACUAGCUGUAGUAGGGGGAGAGAGCGUUACGUGGACCGGGUCUACCUUAGAAACGGACCAAUUAGAAUUUGAGGGUCGACCACGUCAUCUGAGAGGGAGUGUAACAAGGGAAUCCUGUAAUUCGCUGCCUACGAAAGAAGGAAAACGCCUAAUCAAUCCUAUGACGAUGAUUCGCUGCCUAUUUUAUUUCUAUUUCCUUUCUUUCUCUCGGUCUCUUCUACUCCCCACCUCGCCAUCUCCCCAAACUCCUCUCUUCUUCCUUCAAUCGACCCCAGCCUCUCUUCUUCGGUAGUAAUGGCUACCGAUUCGGCGACGGGAUCGUCCUCUUCUACAGCGCCGACGCAUGGUUCUUCGGAGAACUUUUUCAAUUUACUUCGAAUUCUCAUCGUUUCAGACGACAUGCUUUUUCUUGAAGCCGUCUCCAGCGAACUUAUGGCUUGCGGUUACUAUGGUGAUUUUUUUUCCUUUUUUUGUUUUUUUGUUAUUCUUUUUUUCUUUUUUUAAAGUUUGUAUAUUUUAUUAAUUUUUUUGAAUUGUUUUUUUUUUUUUUCCUGUUAGUGCAAAUGAUAAGUUCGGGUGGUUUAGCGAUAGAACUACUGCACAAGCCAAAUGCAAAUUUCCAUAUUGUUUUACUCGAUGCUUCUUUGAAAAGCCAGCCGCCAUGGAUACUUUUGGAUCAAACCCAACGAUAUUUCAAGAAUAUUUGUGUUAUUGGUCAGUAUUUUAAAACUUUUAUAUAAGUUUACACUACAUCUUUUUUAAUGUAAUUAUUUUUAAUUUAAUUUUGUUUGUUAUUGUAGUAAUGACAGCAGACUAUACGCCUGCCUUCGCCAAGAGGAGUAUUGAUCAAGGGGCAUCACUUGUCAUCGAGAAGGAACGGAUUGGAUCAAUAUAUUACAUAUUGUGGCAACUCGUAAUAGGUAAGGAAAAAUUGAAUUUAGAAAUGAGAAGCUUGAGGGAUCGGAGGAGAAUGGUCUAUUGGGACGGCAACACGAGAACCGAUUUCGAGCAUACUUACCGGCUAGCUAGUGCAGGUAAUGUAGAGUAAUAAUACUUUAACGCCAUAAAAAUGGACGUGCAUUAUCUGAUAUAGAAAAUAAAAGCUACAUAAGAAAAGAGAUAUUGCAAACCAAUAAUUAAUAGACAGUAUGAAAAAAAUAAACCUUUAUGGAAGCGCUAACCAUCACUGGAAUAAAGAAUACCCAGAAAAUGUCAUAGAUAAAAAGCCUAGCCUAUAAUCGAACAAAUAGGAAGUCCGCAGAUGAUUAGAAUCUUUUGUCAAAAAAAAGAAAAGAAAAGAAAAAACGAAACUAGCAACCAAAUGAAGAGGAGCAACCAAUGAAGAGGAAACAUCAGAGCAGAAAAACUAUCUAAUACAAUCCGACAUCUCAAUGCAAUGAUGAUGAUACUUGGCUAUAGUAUAAUGCUUAGAAAGGAUGAGCAAUUAUGAACAAAAACAAAAAAAAUCUGAAAAUAAAUAGGAUAGACAGAGGUAUCAAAUGGACAUAGAAUUCUGUAAUUCAGCAUUCUAAAAGAUAGGGAGAACUAUUCUUGCACUGAUCCUCUAAGAUAGGGAGAACUAUUCUUGCACUGAUCCUCUAUAAUAUUCUCCUCUGCACAUUCAUUGUAUUGCCCUCGCAUUUUCUUUGUUCACUUAUUGUAGCUCUUUCUACAGAAUUAUAAUUAAUAUCCUCUUUUAAUAUCUUCAGCGGCAGCAGGAUUACUAAUCACUCUUUCUAUGUGUAAUAUUUGGAAUAGUUUGCUCCCUUUCAAUAUGGCAUUCAUAUAUAACUCUUGUAAUAUAGCCGACUCCAAUGCUAAUAUAUGUUCAAUUUGAUUUUUUUUUUAUUGUUUUUAUAGAUCGCAUACUAGGGAAGAUUGCUGAACUAAUGAGUGUUUUAAGGAUGUACACCCAAUCUGUCGCAAGUUAUAUGCGGGUUAGUUUUCUAUUUUCUUCAUAUUGUUUAGUUAUGCUGCUUAAUUCAGUAGAUUUUAAUGAUCUUUUAAUUCUUUGUUUUCAAUAGAGAACGAGUAUGCAGGCUGGAGCUGGCCCAUUGCUUGGGCAAUUGUCUUCUAUUUUUGAGCAGAUUGCUGCGCAAGAAGCAUCUGCAUCGCACGUCGCAGCGCCUAGAGAUCCACUAGCUGACGCGGGCGAGCAGAUGCUGUCUGAUCUGCAGUAUUUACUAAAUGACUUUUAUUGGCCAGAUGAUGAGUUUAAUUUUCCAGAACAGUAAUUUGUAGCCUAUUAGUAUGAACUUUAGUUGAAAAUUGUCUCAUAAAUUGCAACUUAUUAGUUGUUCUCUAGUUAGUAGUCAAGUAGCAUUCUGGACAUUGACGGCGUGAGAGCUUUUGACGCCAACUGACUAAUGAAUUUAACAAUGUUUUCAAAAUAUAAUCGAUGAUAUGUGGCCUGUGUUUGCUGGUUAGUGAAUUUCCAGGAACUUCUAGCAUGUAGCUGGAACUGUGUUUGCUUUCAAUUCAUUAGCUGUAUUUGGAUAUCUCCCCCUAUUGUGAUGAGUCAUUGCUGAGAGCAAAAAUUUCAUUACAAUUGCCAUGAUGUACUCUUCUUGCUAUUAUCUCGUUUACUUGAAAACUGAUCAAUAUGUGGCCUGCUGUAGUGGGUACUAUCAUCUCUCGUAUGCUGUUUAAGUAGUACUAUCUUCUCCAUCAUUGCAAAAUUGAAGAUUUGAUCUUAUUCAAGCGUUUCGCCAUAGUAGAAGUUUUAAAUUUUUGUGCUAGUUGAACAAUAUUCCAUUGAAUUUGGCAUGAUCAAAGGAAGUGGCCUUAAGCAGGCAUAGAUCCCCUAAUUUACAGACUAAAUUAAAGAAGAAUAUAGAAUUUUAAAAUUCAUAUUCAUUUAGUAUCGAAUAUAUCCGUUUCAUUCGGAUUCGAGUUCAGAUAAAAUUUCGGAUAUCCAUACCCAUUGACAUCCCUAAACUUUGGCCUCUAUCUCUAUUUUUGCUUUUAUCUCAUUCAUCAACUGCUGAGCAGUUAGUAAAUAAAUGUGCAGCAAGUAUAUAAGAGUGCACCUAGUAAAUAAAUGUGUAGCAGUUAAGGUUCUGUUUGGAUGCCGGAAUAAUUUAUCAAAAAUAAUUUAUUCCAUAUGAAAAUUUUGUAGUAUAAUUGUGAGUAAUUAGUUCAAUUUUUGAUCCUUCAAAGAUCAUGCUAUUCAUAAAUUGAUAAGAUAGUAUAUUUUACUUAUUAAGUAUAUUUUUUUAUUCGAUUCUAAACAUUUGAUCAUAUUUUUUAUCAAUUAAAUUAAAUAUACAUUGUUUUAAUAAAUUUUAAAUUUUCUUAUCUGUUGGGAGAAGUGCGGUAAUGCCCACAUUGUGAAUUGAAAUUUUAAAAUUUUGAUUUCUUGUUAAUCUCAUAUGGCAUGACUGCUUCAAGUCAUGACAACAUCUGUUUUCUUGUUAGUAUUUUGAAAUUCUACGUUCUUAGUAUUGAUUAACUGACUUCAGUUUAAACAAAAUUAAAAUGCUAUUAUAUAUUGACGUGUAUUGUCUGGAUAAUAAUUUAUUUAAAAUAAUAAACCCUCUUCUUUUUUUUUUUUCUUUUUAUCACGAUCCUAGUCUCCAUGCUAGUAGUCCCUACUGAAUUAUAAUAUUUAAUCUAAUGAUUAGAAAUGAUCAAAAGAAUCGAUCCAAAGACUAAAAACUUGUUAGCAAAAUGAGAGAAAUACUAUAAAUAGUAUUCUAGCCCAACUCUCUCUCUCUCUCUAUAUAUAUAUAUAUAGAGAGUUGAGCUGAAAUGCUAUCGGUAGCAAACUGGCUUCGUUGCCAUCCAUUUAUUUUCGAUGAUGGAGCCUUCAAAUCGACGAUGGGCACCGUUGAAAAUAAUCUAUUAAUAGUAUUAUUUUUUGAAUAUAUUAAAAUUUUAUAAUUUUUCAUAAAAUUCACCUAAAUUGAAAAGCUUAUAGAUGUCCUCUAGAUUUGAUGUUUUCUGUUGAUUUAUUUUUGUUUACUAAUUUUAUUAGGAAAGAUAAGUAUAUCCUGCAACAAAAUAUCAGCUCUUUUGCUUUUGUGAUUUUAUUGAUUUUUUUUUAUUAUUUUGAAUGCAUUUGGACAAAGAAGGUAUAUAGCUCUUAGAAAAAAAAAAUUAAAAAAAAAUGCGAGAAUUGUUGUUUAUUUUUAUUUUUUUAUUAUACAUUAAUAUUAUAUAAUUUGAUACUAGCGAAAAUACUUUCUUCUCAUUGUAUCCCAACCAAACGACAGAUAAUAACUAAUUUAAAAAUUAAAAAAUUGUUACUUUUUAAGUUUUUUUUUAAAUUUUUUUGCUACUAAAUAGAAAUUUCGCAUGUAAAAAUUGCAAACAAUCUACUGUUCCUUAUUGCACUAUUUCACGUAAAUAUUUUGUUUAACAAAAUAAGAAAAAGGGCAACAAUACCAAAUGAGAUCUAAGUAAUCUUAAUUUUAUAUUUCAGAUCAUGUCUAAGAGCCACAACAUUAAAAAUGGGGACAAUACUUUGCCCUAACCUGCUCUGCAUCUCCCAUGCCUAAUCAAAUAAUUUAGAGGAACAUUACUGAAUAUCCGAGUGGUUUACCUAGACAGAUAGAAGGUCGCUUUCAAUGAGUCAACUAAUUAAAUUGUAAGAUAGGAAAUAGAUGUAGAGUAGAGCUGCUGUGCUUUUAGAAGUACAGAAAUAUCUGUGCUUGUGACUUUUUAAUUGUCGGAUCGCCUCAAGAUCCGUGGAGCACUAUUAAUGAUGUGUCCCGUUAUAUCCACUUCAUUAGUGCUGCACGAAUCUUGAAGCAAUCUAACGGCUAAAAAGUCACAAGCAUAGAUGUUUCUGUGCUUCUAAAACCACGGAAGCUCGACUCAUAGAUGCAUUAAUGUAUGAGUUUAUAUGGAUGACACUAUGCAAAUAUCAACUGAUGGGAGGUUCAAUUUUGCCUGGAUUAUUAAAAACUAUCUACAUCAGAAAAUAAUGUAACAACCAGGUUCUAUUGGUUAACUACUUUAGUCAAAUUUAAAAAAAAAAAAAAAACUCCAAAAUGGGCAUGCAUGAAUACGUGCGAAUGCCGACAACUUUGUCCUUAAACAUAAUUCUUUAUUACUUAUUUCAGAAAGUGACAAGCAAUUAUUUAGAAGGAAAAGAGAUUCCAUUUUCAUUACUAACAUGUGAGACAACAAUAAUCAAAUUCAAUACAUUAGGUUUAAUAACACUAAAUGCUCUUCUACAAAUGCAAAUUUGUUGAACUGAACAGAGCUAACUAUUACUGUCCUCUUGGUUUGACAAAUGACUAGCUAUUCCUUGUAGAAGGAGAAGAUAAGCUGUUCUAAAUGCUAAGUGUCAUAAAGCUAACAACAAGAAUUUCUGUUAGUUGCAUGCAUGUUUGUCGUAGAAAUAUUUCAUAACUCCGUCGAAGUCCAAAUUUGUGUAGAAGGAUGUGACAUAAAUUGAUUAAUUGAUUACAUAAGACAAUCUUAUCGACAGAUUAAAGAUCCGACUCACAAGCUAGGUUAAGCAAUUUAUUUUCUAUAUCAACCGCUAUUAAACAUAAUUGCAAUUAGAUCAACUAACUAGUAAUAAGCAAAUCAUUUUUGAAAAUUUCAUGCCAUUUGGAAUUUGCACAAAUUCUCUUUGAUGGCUCGCAACCUCUAACAUCUCCAUUUGUUCAAUAAUACAAAAACACUGAAAAAGGAAUAGCCCACCACAAUAGCCGCAAGGAAAACACAUACUCGGCAGCCAGAAAGAAUCACAAUACAGUUAAAGUAACAAUAAUUCAAUCAAUUAUAUACAGAGAAUAUAUCUCGAGAACAACUUUAAGUACAACCAUAGCCGCAGACAUGUAAUAUGUUCUCAGAAAGUAGGAAUAAGAAUAAAUCUGGAGAACGACUUUACAUUUGAAUGAACCUUAGACGCAUAAACAAAGAGAACUUUGAAUAUAUACCAAGUCUCCCACUAGUUUAAGAUGCCAAACCUACGCAAUAGAGGUAAUGGGGGUGAAUUCAGCUAAUACCAAAGGUGAUCGAAUCUACUACAUCGUCUCCUGUCAGACAUCUGCCAGACAUCUCAUCUUUCCAAGCGAAUAAGAUAACUCUAAUUCCGGCUCUUUGAGGCUAUUGACCAUCAACUAUAAAGUGUUUGUCAAUAAUUUCAAUUUAUUGACCCAAAAGUGUAGACCAUCAUCAAAAUCCAAUCCUUAUGCACUAUAUGAAAAAGAAUAGAGACAUCGUCAUCACAUUGAGAGCACGCAUGCUGGUAUAAAAAACCACAUAACAAGGGUAAGUUGCACCACGAGCUCCUUUAUCUUUUCAAGGAUGUUUCACUUUGGUCCCGAACCUUGCAAUUCAUACAAUUGGACCACUAGCCUAUGCACAUGUUGCAAUUAAUCGUCACCAGUAUUUGUUAAAUCGGACGGAACUGCUCAUGUAAUCGAUGAAUGAAAAGGCUAAAUAUCUCUUAUAUAGCAGUAACAGAAGCUAACACUACGAAUUACCUAACAAAGUAUUCGUAAUAUGGUUUUCAUUCCAAACCCUAUGCUUGAUCUUGCAACUAAGUGCAUAAGAAUUAUGAUAUGAAUCAAUUCCUAUAUAUCCUAAAGGAAGAAGCAUAAACACAGAUAACAAUGAGAAUUGAUAAGUUUAGAACCAGGGAGGCAUGAAAAUUCCAGGAAAAUUACAUGAAACUUCAUCAUAUAGAUAUAACAAAGCAUUGGAUUUAUCCAUUAUCGGAAAUUGAAACUGCGAGGGGCAGAGUGGAGCAUUAUUACUGUACAAGCAUAAGCCGGCCGAUGCCGCCGUUGAGACGGCCCCCGGGCGACAAAACCCCGCCUCCUUCUUCCUCGUCGGAGGCCGCCCCCUUCGGGACGGUGACGAUGAGCUCGCCGUCGACGUAGGCGGCGGUGGCGAGCGAGGGGCGGGUGUAAGGCGGGAGCCGGAAUCGCCAGCGAUUGAGCUCGAGGGCGCCGUCGUCGACCUCACCGGAAUCGGCGGCGGCGGCGGCGGCGGCGGGGCGGAUCACGACCUUCAUGACGCCGGGGUGGAUCUCGACGGGGAGGGCGCGGACGUCGUCCCAGAGGUCGUCGGCGGCGGCGACGAAGCGGAACCCGUCGGAGUCCUCCUCGACGGAGACCUCGGCGUCGGCGCCGAAGGGGAGCUCCAGCACCUUGCUGAAGAUGUGCGGGAGGCGCCGGAGCUUCUUCUGCCGCCCCCCGCCUCCGCCGACUCCGGCGGCGGCGGCGGCGAGGAUGGCGUUGGCGUCGUAGCGGAUGGUGAUGUUCCGCUUCUUGGGCGCCGGGUGCACCCUCAUGGCUCCCAUCCUUCCACAACAACAACCGAAACCCUAAACCUAGCCCUAAUCCAAACCCUAACCCUAGCUUCCGAUGACACAAAUCGGUGGCGAAAUCCCCAAAAUCCUACACGAAACAGCUCGAAUUUGAUCGAGAAAACCGAAAACUCGACUCGCAAAGAGCAAUUGAAAUCGAAAUCCUAGCAAUAUCGAGCUUCGAUUGGAAACCUUGGGGCAAAAAACAGAGGAUUUUCACAUGGAGAGAGGGAGGAAAUUGGGGACGAAGAGAUCUCUCCACGAUCUACCACUAUAUAAAUAUUUUGUUCGGAGGAGACGAGCUCAGCAGGGGUAUUUUGGGAAACAAGAAAAUUGGGACGAAGAGGACAGGGGCAUUUUGGGAAUAAAAAUAAUUACACAGGGAAAUGGUGACGUAUUAUAGAGGGUAAAAGUACAUUAGUCCCGGGACUAUCGCAAUAUUGCAAUUUAGUCUCUAUCCUUUUUGCCGACCACUACUUUUAGGUGUAUCUAAACUUUUUUUUUUAUAUAUUUUAUACAAUAUUUUUAAUUAUUAAAAUGGUUUUAAAUUUUUUAUUUUGUCAAAGAAAAUUCUGGCUUUUCAUUUUAGAAUAUAUCUACUCUGCUGUAGGAUAUAAUAAUACCGGUACUAUCUAAAAAGUUCUAUUAAGAAAAAACAUACUAUAUUAAAAUUUUUAAAUAACUUUUUUCAAAUAGAUCGAAAUAAAUAUUAUGUUACAAAAUAUAAUUAUACUAAGGGACAGUUUGGUUGAAUAUAAUUAUAAAUAUAGUGUAGUUAAAAAUACAUGCAGUUGAAAAUAUAAUAAUUAUAAUUACAUAUAAUUUGUUCGGUUGAAAAAAACUAAAAUGAAUAAUUUAUCGGCCAAUUUGCAUAAAAAUUCACUUAUUUUGGACUUUUGCAAAACUGGACCACCUUUUUCGUUUUUGCAGAUUCGGUCCGCUUUUUCAGCAAACUGACCAAAAUACCCUUAUUACUUUUUCUCUUUCCUCUUUCUCUCUCCUCUUCGUUUCUAUCGUUCUUUUUUUUUUCUCGCCGAAAAAAAAGAGGCGGAUCGAACCGUCGCCUCCCUCCUCACCCUCCUUCUUCACCGUUGCCUCCCUCCUCACCCUCCUCUCCACCGCCCACGACCCCUCCUCCUCUCCCGCCGGCUGCCGGCCGAGUCCACCCCCGACCGUCGUCUCCGUCGCCGUCGCAGAGCCACGGCAUGGGCGGGCGCAGCCCUAUGGCGUGCGUCGACCGUGUCCCGAUCGCUGAGCCUCAUCCGGCCACCAGCGGUCGUCGUCCGCUUGUCAGGCGGCGCGGCGGAGGAAGAGGCUGCGGAGUCGUCGCGGCGCUGGGCUGAGCGACCCGGAUUCGGCGCCCGGCCGACGCCUGUUGACGGCAGCGUCGGCUGCUGCACUCAGCCUAUUGGCGCAAGGCCGGCCGGGACCUCGUUCAGCUGCUGUGGAGUUCGGCGCAAACGUCGAGCCCCGGUGCCGACUGACGGCUUGAGGCGUUCGGCGGACGACGGGCGGAGGCGCUCGAUCGCGCGGUGACUCCUGGCGCGGGGUGCGCAGCGUUGCGGGCCGUGCGGCGGCAGAGCGGUGCACGCAGCGGCAGCGGGCUGGCACGCAGGCGCUGUGGGUGCUUUUUCUUCUUCUGCAUAGUGUAAAUGGUGCACAAUUACACCAUUAAUGUGUGUAAUUUCAUGCGUGUAAUGGUUAAUGGCUGCACCAUUGACAUUAGUGUAUGGUGCACCAUUGACAUUAACCAUUAAUGGUUAAUGGUGCCACCGAUUACACAUUAAUGGUAAAUGGUGUACAAUGAUGCCACCAUUAGUGUAAUUGGUGCCACCAUUUGCACAAUAUACACCAUUAAUGGGGCGGUGGGCUUGGCGCGGAUAACGGAAGACGACGGUGACGACGACGGAUGACGAUCGUGGGACCGGGACGAGGCUCAGCAAGGGGGAGUGACGAGGGCGAUUGGCAGGGGACGGGCGGUCGCAAGGGGCGGGACGUGGCUCGGCGACCGGCGACGGCGCGGACGACGGUUGGGGUGGGGCUCGGUGGCUGGCGGGGGGAGAGGAGAAAGGGCUCAGCGGGAGUCUUGCGUUGAGAGCGUAGACGAUCGGGGACUCAUGCGACUUCGAGCUUGACGAGGGCUUACUGGCCCCUUGCAACUCGGUGACGAGCGGGCGGUUCGGCUUGUGGAGGCGUGAGGGAGGAGGACGCGGAGCUUCGCGGCGGGCUUGAGGAGGGCGAACGGGGAAGUGAGGAGGGCUUGAGGAGGAGAGUAAAGAGCGAGGCGAGACGACGGUGGAGGGUGGGCUCGUGGCGCGGCGGGGGGAGAGGGAGGAGGGGUUCGGUAUGCGGAGGCGGAGGAGGGGCUCGGGCGGGCGGGCUCCGAAAAAAAACGAAAAAAAAAAAAGAACGAAAGAAACGAAGAGGAGAGAGAAAGAGGAAAGAGAAAAAGUAAUAAGGGUAUUUUGGUCAGUUUACUGAAAAAACGGACCGAAUCUGCAAAAACGAAAAAAGUGAUCCGAUUUUGCAAAAGCCCAAAAUAAGUGAAUUUUUUAUGCAAAAAGGCCAUAAUCAGUAAGAAGCAAUAAGUUGGUUAUUUUUAAAAAAAAAAAUAUAAUCUUUUAACAUACUAUAUUAAAUGUAAAAAAAAAAAAAUCAAGGACUAAUUGUAAAAGUACAUGAACAAAGUAGUAAUAUCACGAAAGAAUAGGGGCUAUUUAUACAUUUUAAUUUCUCCAUUAUUAUAGAGGAGUUAUAGAGGAAGUGACGGUUUAUUUUUCAUUUUUCAUUUUUUUUUUAAUUUUUUUGGGCAUUAUCACAAACGCCACGAGAAAUUAUUGCGUGCUUUGAUACGUGCUUUUGACCGUAACCGUUGAAUCGGGAUCCAAUGACGACUCCGAGUAGCCCCGACGUAGGCCGUACGAUCUCGAUCGAACGGCGGAGAUCGACGCACGACAUCGUUGGUAGUGGUGUCUCACAUGGGGAUUUCGUGGACAACGCGCCGAGUAUCGUAUAACUCGGACGAUACGCUUGCGGUGACAAUUUACGGAAGCCCCCUCACAUAUAUACUAUUUUGAAAUUUACUCCGUAAACAUUGUUGUUGAUUUUCUUUUUUUUUUAAGUAGUUCUAAUUUCUUUAAUUUGAGCAAUGUAUUUUAGUUAGAUUUAAAAAAUAUUAAAUUUUAUACCCUUGGUAGAAAAAAUUAAUACUAAUGAAGCUUAUGUCAAUGAAUUUAAUAAAACUCUUUAAUUAAAAAAAAUCGGAAUGUAAAAAAAAAAAAAAAUUAAAAUAAGAAAAGCUCAUGGAUCGCUUUCAGUGUCUCCUAUAUUGGAGGGGUUUCCCUACAAUUUUACCCAAGGUUACCCACGGUGACUCCAUGAGGAUGUUAAUAAGUGUAACGGUUAUAUAUCACGGUUGUGAGAAUGACACGCGGACCCCACCGAGGGGUGGGCCCCACAUGUGAUCCUCGUUGGGAUGGAGACCAUGUAAUCGUUGAUUGGCUCAAUUGAUUGAACCAUGUUGGGCCCCACUACACGUUUGAUAACCACUGAUGUGGUCUCUUUUUUUGUGUUUAUCUUUAUUAUUAAUAAUUCUAAUUAUUACUUUUUGUUUAGUGUAUGGUGGAAAAAUUGCCACAACGUACGGAACGAUUACGAAGGCUCAGAUGCUGCAACUAUUUUCAGAUAAUUUAUCUCGAAAAAUAGAAUAAACGGCUUUUUUUUUACAUUUAACUCCUUCAAAAAAAAAAAUUUGCAAAUAAUUCCAUAAAAUUUAUAUUUACAAGAUUGGUCAUAUUCCCACCUCGCAAACGUCACGUGAACGCCACAUGAGCAUGGCAGUAGAUUAAUUUGAACAUGUGAAUCAUUUAUCGUGUUUAGAAACGAUGAAUAAUUCACAAGGAGUGUUUGGUUCGCCUAUUUUUCAUCCUGGAAUAAAAAUUGCAAUCGACGAAUCCGUUUGUCCAUAUUUGGUACGUGGAAUUCUCAUUCUGAUUUCGAUUUCCGGGCGAAUGAAAAUCCCCCAAUUAUCCUUUUUUCCAAUCCAGUCUUGUAAGCCGAAUUGGAAAUUGAAUUCUGGUGGAAUGAAUUUGUUCGGAUUACAUUUAAUUUUUUUAACCUUAUUUUUAAUUAAAUCAUAAGUUUAAGUAUAAAAAUUAUAUUUAUAAAUUUAAAUUUAAAUUUAAAUUUAAAUUAAAAAUUAAAAUUCAAUCAAGUAUUUCGAAUCUAAUUUAUAAAUUUGAAUUUGGAUUUAAAAUCUAAAUUUUUAUUCAAAUUUUAUUUCAAAUUUAAAUUAAAUUUAUGGUUUCAAAUUGAAAUUUAAAUUAUAAUUUUAAGUUUGAAUUUGAAUAAAUCGAAAUUUAGUUUUAUAUUUUGAAUUAUCCAUUCAAUUUCAAAUUUUAAUUUUUUAAAAAAUUAUAUUUAAAAUGUUUACAUUAUUUUAAAAUUUUGACCUAUAUUUUUAAUAUUUAAUUUUCAAUUUGAAUUUAAACUAAUAUAUUAUAAAGAUAAAAUUGACAUAUUAAUUUGAUUACGUUUUCAAUAUCUAUCUGAACCGAACACCGACAAUAGAAAUGGUUCAUUCCGAUUUCGAUUCAGAUAGCGAACCAAACAACUGAGGUAAUAAAUUAUUCUGAUUCCGUUUCCAGUUUAUUAUCAUUCUAAUUUCGAUACCAAUUCUAACUUCGAAUCAAACGCACCCACAAUGUUCUUUCUAAAUCUUAAAUCUCAAAUAUUAUGUAAUACCUUAGUAAGAAAAUAAUGGAAUACGGUGAACCGUAUUCAACUUAACCCAUGUCGCCAUCUAUGCUUGCGUGGCGAGAAUACGGUCAAUCUUGUAAAUAUAAAUUUGUGGGACUAUUUAUAGAUUUUUUUUUUUUUUCUCCUGAGAGGACUAAAUACAAAAAAGCUCAAAAAAAAGGUAAAAAUAUGAAGACCGCCUCAACUGGGCCGUUCGGAAAUAGUCUCUUGGACAUUUUUUUUUUUUUUUUUAGGAUUGACACCCUAAACUUUUGCAUUAGAAAGUUUAAGUGAUUUUAACCAAAAAAAGAUUAAAAAAUUUAUCAAACAUUUUAGUAACUUUUCCAAAUAUAAUAAUUUUAAUCCACUUUAUAGCAAAUAAGCUAGAUUGAUUAAUUGAUAAUGGUUAAUCAACCUGCCCUAGUUUGAUCCAAAACUUAUGCAGAAGAAUCUGAAGCCUCAACCCUCGCAAUGGUAGAAGAAAUCAGACGAGCUGUCUGCAAUACCUCCAGAGUUAAGAGGUUUUGCAGACUGUAGUGCAGUGCAUUUUUCAUUCUAGAGAAUUUGCAGACAGCGGUGGCACUACAUUUCGGUUUCAGAAUUCUGCCAAACAGGCAAGCUUCAUAGAUGCUCUCUCUUCCUAAUUAAAAAUCAUAAAAGAUCAAAAUGGAUUUAUUUAGACAUAUUGAAGUAAAAUUAUGCCACCAUCUUAGGUUUCUUCUGCUAUGUUUACAACGAGUCCGGCUACUAUACUCUUAUUAGUAUAGAUUUUUUUGUACUCAUAAAUUUUCGGCCGUUAAAUCUACUUAUUUGAUCAUUUUUAUUCGUUAGAUUUUAUUAUUCAUCGAACCACCCACUCAACCCUAGAGGAUCAUUAUCAUUUUAACCGGGGACCACUAUUAUCCUGACCGCACAUCUCUUCAUCCAAAGACCAAAAAUUUAUGAAUACAAAAAGCUCUAUACUCAUAAAAGUAUAAUAACCUAGCCUGUUUACAACAUUUAUGCUUACAACUCUUUCAAAAGAAACAUUACCAUAAAAUAAGCCCCAAACACCCCAAAAAAGAGAACACGAAAUAGAUCCCGAAGAUGAGAAUCAUGCUUCAUAUUAUGUAUCAAUCCACUACAAGUAAAAAAACAAAAUCAACCUCAUAAAUACAUUAGCAAUUUCGAUUAAUUGGUAACCCACAUCAUUUGCAAUAUACUAUCAAGAAUGUACAACAAGGUUUACGCACUUCAAGGGCACUUGGCGUGGCGUAGUUGCAAAAGGGGCGUGAAUUUAGUUAGAUGACAGACAGUACAGUCAUUAGUUCAGUUGUCGACCACGAGAUAUAGAGGAGAUCAGCCAUCUAGUCGUCCGCUUAAUUCUUGAAUAACAGCUUCCUUUUGGAAAGGCCUGGCAUUGUCUUUCAUGGAAGGAUCCAAAACAUAGCCCACCAUUCGGAGGCAGAUUUUCUCCGUAUUAUCCUAGUCGACAUCAGAACUAGCGCUUUUAUUCCCACUAAACUUGAUUUAUGGGUGGAUUGCGAUCCGAAACCCCUCAGCAGUGGCAUGAGCUUGUUUUCCAGAGGAGCAGUAGAUUGAAUUGCAGUCUUUGCUUGAAACUGGCUGCAGAACUUAGCUACGACUCGUGAAGCCAACUUCAGGUGAGGUGAAAUUCAAAAUUGCUGCGAAUGUACUAAGGAAGAUAAGAGAUGAGAGAACAGUCAAUUCAAUUUCGUCUGUUCGAUAUUCACAUUCUUGUCCUCGGGACUUUCUGCGGGAAGUAGACCAAGAAGGGGAAGCGGUAGCAAGGAGCUGAGAUUGCAAAUGACAAUUAAUAGAGCUAGAUUGCCGAAACUGUCUUUGGUGACCCCCAGAAGUUGAGUCAGCCCUGCGCCGAUAAGACCUCCAGUGACACUUCCCGCAUUCGAAAUAGACAUCAGAGUGGCAAAUAAAGUCGCCUCCAUCCCGGAGGGGCAUAAUCUUGCCGCUAAUACCAGGACGGGCAUAAAAGAAGCCUGCAAAAUAAUGCAUACUUUUGUUUGAUUAACAAGAAAUGUGAAAUAUAAGCAGAAAAUAGAAAAAGGAAAAACAAUGUACAAGUGCAUGUGGCAGAGAAGUUCUAUCACCACAUAGUAUACAUCGGAAGCUAGAGAUUCUAGAGGCAUAUUCGAUUGCUUGACGUUUCGUAUUUUCUAACUUUUCAAUCACGUUGAUUUUGUUUAGCAGGCAGUAUAAUUAAUCCACUUUGUUUUUGAAAGUUUGGUAUUAGCACCUGACUGAGCACUGUUAUUCUUUACUUACUGUUUGAUAUUGUAUAGAAACUGAUUAAUUACUACAUAUCUAUGGAGAAGCAAUUUGGAAACUGUAUUUAGUGAAAUGUUGACUUUAAUCAAAUACACUGCAGCAUCUUGAGAAUUCUCCACAUCCACAUUUUGGUAAUAUAUCACAUUUACAUUAGACUCCACUAAAUGAAAAUUUGGUUCUUUUACAGCUUUGUGAUUCUUGUGGUGCAAUAUUGGGAAAAAAACCUUGAAUGUAACUCAGGUGCGAAAAUACCACUUCUCUUGUUUCUCAUUUCUUAAAUGACUUAAAACAGCAAAUACUUAAAGUUACUAAAGUCAUAGUUACUGGCAAGCUAGAAACAGAAAUCAACACCAUGCAAAAUUCCGCAAUUCAACUAAUGUAUUAGCACCUGACUGAGCACUGUUAUAAUCAAAGAGUCCCCAAUUGAGAACCAUUCAUCACUUAUGCCGAACUGUCGAUUAAGUCCAGUGACAAGAAAAACCUGAAAAAGUACACCAAACUUAUCAUAGAACUGAAAUAUAACAAAACCAUUUUUUUGACAGCAGAGAAUACACAACCAGUACCUGCGUCAUUCCAAGAGUCGAGCCUAUAAUUGUUGUGAGAAGAAAAAUUUUCCUCAAAGGAACUGCCUUAAGAAAUGAAUUGUACAGUCCAACACCAAGCAAGGAUGCCACCGAUGUAACUAGUUUGACUCGCCCUAAAAAUUCUGGAGUAAAUCCAAGCUUAUUUGUGCUGAAACCCAACAAUAGAGAGACACGUAAGUUUUUAUGUAGUACCUCAUUUUGAGGCAAAAAUAAUAGACCGAGUUGCAAGUAAUAUAUGCACAAAAAAAGAAAAAACGGAGGCCAGUUAGAGUUCUUAGUUAAUACAUAAUUAUAAAACUUUAUGCCCAAAGACGUGUAGGUUGCACUCAGACAUGUGAAUAAUGCUUGGCACAAGCACAUAUGACAACCUAACAUCCACGCUUUCAGUCCUAACUAUUUGGGAGUAGUUGUAGAAAAUCUAAUUUUUCGCUCAUCUCUUGUUUUCCACAAGCUUCUCAAUCAAAACAGGCACUGUUACUUCUUUUGUCACAAGUUCCCGUAACAUCAAUUUUGGACUCCCAUCUCAAGGCACUCUAAUACUUCAGAAAAUAUGAUCCGAAGUAAUGUUCUAUGCGGUCGAUUGAACACAGCGCAACCAUUUAUACUGGUUUCCAUGCCCACUGCAGCCCGUUCCCAACCACUGUAUAUAUGUCUACGCGCACAUGCAUGCGUAUGUGUACAUGUGUGCGGGUGAAACACUAACAUUAUGCAGGCAUACCAACUGGUCCUUCACUUGACUGUAGUUGAACAUCAUGUCGCAUGCUGAGAAAAUGUCAUUGAAAUUAUCAACAUAAUGCAGAAAAAUGAGUCUUGUCCAUCCAGUGUGCGCUUCCUGAUAAUUCUUCACUAUUUGAUUUUUUUUUUUCUCCAACUAUGUGGAUGGUUUGAAAAAAUCCACAUAAAAAUUAAACAGAAUUAAAGCGCACUCAGAGCAAUACAGGGGGGAUAAAAUGACAAGAUAAAUAAUAUUAAAGUUAAUAUCCAACAUGAAUAAGAGCAAGAGGGAUGGUUGUGAUCGUACGUAAAGAAGAACAUGGCGGAGUCCGACUGAGGAGUUGCCUGCCACAAGAACAUGAACAAGGUGGGUAAGAAGAUGUCGCGCUGCCUCACUGCAGCCCACAACUGAGUAAUGUGCUGUUUAGAGCUCUCAAUAAAACCUGAACCAGAAAUUAAGGGAGUGUAUCCUGAAGAAGGAACAGGCUGUUCAUUUACAAGAACAGCCACUGCUGAUGUCAUCAGGGGCAGAAACGCCGUAACACCAAAGACAAAUCUGCUUUAAUACAAAUACGUUAAUUAUCAAAUAAUGUUGUACAUAAGUUAGAAAAUUUAUUUCAUUAAUGCGAACCUAUGGAACAAACCUUACACCGUAUGUAUCCACCAAUGAACCACUAAAAUAUGCGCUCACAAUCCCUCCAAAGGCUGACGAUCCCCAACACAGAGACUGGAGAGAUCCCGAUGUACUCUGUGACUCACCGCGUGCCCUUUCAACAACCAUAGAAUCUACCACCUAUAAUAUCAAGUAACAUGUGAAAGAAGAUUAUACAUUUGGCACUUAAUGCUAUAAGGACCAGAGAUUUAUCACCGCAUAAACUUGGUUGACUAUUUAAGUAACUUACAAUGUCAAAGGUAUGAACAGAAAAAAGGAAACAACACUAUAACAUAAUAGAUAGCAAAUAAUGCAGCACAAGCGGAAUACUAGUGAAUUGCGUAUUUAUUAUAUGUUGACAAUUAAAUAUGCUUCAUUAUUGAGAAUAAACUAUGAAAAAUAUAUGAAAUUUAAAAAGAAAACAAUGCCAGAUAUUUCAAUGAAAGGGCAACGAAUUAGACAGAACCGAUGGCACAUAACAGCAAUUUGAUGUAUUAAAACUCACUUACAACAUCUGAAAAGGCAACUGAAAGAGAUCCAAGAAAGAUACAAAAUGCUGCAUCAUACUUGCUGUCCACAAAUGCGGCCAUCAAACUCCACGAAAGUGCUCCAAGAAGUCCAGAGAGAAUUAGAUAAGACCUUCUCCGAUAGCCAUAAAGUGGGAUGGAGUCACUGAAAUUAUAUUUAAAAAGAAAAAGAAAGAGAAUCAAAUGAAGGGAAUAAAGCAGAAAUUGGAAGGAAUUACCAAAACAAAAAGACUUGGUCAAACCUGAUAAAACCGUAUAGAGGCUUAACUAACCACGGCAAGGAGGAGACACCAGAUAUAACUGCAGUCUAAAUUAGAGAAGCAACACAGAAACGUGUGAAUAAUAUUCAAAGUCUACAAACAUUAUCACAACCCUUUCAUAGCCAAACAAAACGGAAAAUAAUAAAAAAGUAGAUCCAGUAUGUCAACAUUCAAAUUUAAUUUUUAAAAAAAGCUGCAAUGAAACAAGUGACCAAGAAUUCGUAUUAACAUACCUCUGCUGGAUCGAGAUGAAGAUCAUCUUUCAAGUAAAAGCUCACAGCAAGCCUGGCAAGGCCCAACACUCCUUGAACAAAGUAUACAAUAGCAACGGCAAAGUUAUCAGGUGACAAGUCAACCCCAAAACAUUUUAUAGGACUCAUUUUAGACCUGCUCUUCCGCGAGCCAUCUGUACUACUGUCUCCUUUAGCUGUAAAUGAUGGGUUCCUUGAUCUACCUGCAACUAACAACUUAUCAAUACUGUUUUUUCUUAUCGACAUUACAUAGUAUUCACGCCACUAAAAUUUUUAUAAGCUUCAAGCAAGAUUAGUUCACUUUAGGAAUCCUAAUUGCAAAGAAGUUAGUAAGAAGCCUAAGUAACCAUCAACAACUAAAAUUUGAGAAAAGUAGGAAGGCAAUACUAAGUGCUCGACAAUGAUGAUUAUUUUCUUUAACCAAACUUUAUCUAGUUAACUAGUUUUACUAAAAAUAUGAAACAAAUCGACCAAACUCAGGACACAAUAUAUGAAAGAAGUGUGUAAAUCAUCAUGCCAAAAAGCAUCUACCAGAAACAAGCAAACAAGAUUCGUCAGCUAAAUUGUGAAAACUAACUUAAGAUGUUUGAAAACUAUGCCAAGCUAUCUGAGUUAAAGUAUCAAUGUUUUUCAAGACGCUUGAUAAGCCAUCUGACAAUGAUAAAUAGAGAUCAAAGUUCUAGUAUAAUCUCCCUUACGAAAAAAGAACAGCAAUUGCAAAUCGCAACAUAAUUUUUCACCGUAGUAAAAGGUCAUCAAAAAACGAAAAUAUAUACAAUUUUAGGGAGGUUAUUUCUUCGAGACAAACAGCGUAAACUAACAUCCAUUGACCUUGAUUGAUUGGUCUUCACAUAUGAGCUUAGCUGCCAAAUAUCCUAGACAAAAACUGGCAAAAUACUCACACUCAGAUUUAGUAAAGCAAUUUCUCUGUGCAGGAGUAAACUUUCAUACAUAAGUAUUUCGACAAUCCGCACUCAAAAUCCUCCCCCUUGUGCACCUCAAACACUAUCCCAAUUCCAAAUGCAUGUUCAAUGAAUUCGACUCAUAUCUUUCUAAUCUAAGCCAUAAAGAUGAACACUGCAACAUAUUAAAUAAUAAAACACCAUUCUUCAGCACUUAAAGCCGCUAGAUAAAACGAUUAUUUCACAUGUUAUUAGAGCAGGAGAUACUGAGAUUGAAUCCCACCAAACUCCAAUUUUUAUUUAAUUUUCUCCCACUUAAUUCAAGUCCAAUUCUUGGACAAAUAAAAAAUUCUAGAGCUCUAACAUAAAAGUGAGCAUUAAAUAUAAAAUUUUAAAGCAUCAUCCUCUAGAAACUAAAGGUUUCUCCAGUAGUUGUUUCAUAAUUUCAUUAUAGAUUGAUAUCAACGCCGCGUAAUAAACACGCAAGAAUUCAAGAACUCGCCUUUUAAUCGCUUAAUCAAAGCCACGCAGACAGAGAGAGAGAGAGUUCUCGAACUCACCGCCUCGAUAAUCGGAGUAGGACAUCUGGAUCUCGCCGAGAUCCAGGGGCCGCAACGCCGCCUCCUCGUCGUAGCCGUCGCCGGCGCCGCCGUUCCCCUUCCGGCGGGGCGGAGGCGGCGUCGCGGGGCGGGAGGAGGCUGCGGCGGCGGCGGCGGAGGACGCCAUGCCCUCGCCUUCGGGGGUGCGGCGGCAGCGACACUCGAUCCGGCGAGUCCUGGACGCCGCGGCGGCGAUGCGGCGGCGCCGGCGACGAUAAGCGGCGGCGGCGGCGGAGGAGGAGGAGGAGGAGAGCGAGCGCCGUGGUGGGGGAGCGGAGGAGGGGAGGAGGAGAGGGGCGGGGGAGGAGACGCGGAGGAGGAGAGGGUUCACGGGAUUUUUUAAUAAUAAUAAAGAAAAUAACGCCAUUACGAAUUUUAGUCACGGAGCGUACGUUUCCCCCACACACACACACGCACACUACUACACAGUUCGUACCCGAGAAUGCGAAUGUACAUUUUGUAGUGAUUUUUAUUUUCCUAAAAAAAUAUUUACAUAAUUUUUGGAGAAAUUAUUUUUGUUCACAUUCUACAUUUGAUUUUUUUUUUUUUGGCUCAAUUUUUAGAAGAUCUUUUAUAGAUUGGCCCCGUUUGAAAUUCUCAUACAUUAAAAGCAUUUUGUUUGUAUUUGCCUGUGUUAAUAUUUUUAUGGCUCCAUUGAAAAAUCAAGAAAUAUGAAACAAAAUAUUGUACCCCAAAAUGUCUUAACCACACUAUGCAUAAGCAAAUGAGUUCCAAAAUUUAAACAAAAAGGAUUUAACAUUGUAAUUGGGCCACAAAAUAUAUAAGCCACGCUAGAGCUAUUUUGAGAAAUUAAUCGAGACCCAACUUAGCCCAUCAUGGCCCAAAUGAGUUCAAGCUCGGUUCAGGACGGGUCCAACUGGGCCAGGCUCCAACACGAAAAGACGCUAAAUUUAACUUCCAUUUCAAGUCAAGUUGUUAACUGUCACUCGUAGCAUCACCACUGUUUAGAUCAAUUGUUUCAUAUUUAAAUAUGCAAGAAUCUAUGGGCAUCUUCAAAAUACCAAAAAAAAAAAAAAGCGUUUACAAAUAUGUAUGUGCAUCCGUAGUUAAUACGCAGAGAAGCGUGAAUCAUAAAUCUCUGAUGAGGCUUAUUUCUAAAACUAUCAGGAAAAAAAUUGAUGCUAAAUCAUCAAUUGCAUAUAGAAGUAAUACACGAACUGCUAUAUAUGAAACAGUAGUAGUAGCAUCAACCUCAUUUUGCCAGGUUUACUGAUCACUAGGUUUUGAUUUGUCGAAUACUUGAUUCUUGCCUCUUGCCGUAGAGAAGCGGUUUCAAAAGUCAGGUCUAAUAAAUAUUGUUAACUUGUUCCGUGGGCUCUUCCUUACAAUACUAAAGCAUAGUUAUGAAAAUUCAUGGAGUUUAUAUUCUGCGAUUUUAGUUUGAUAUUUAUUAUAUAAAUCCAUAUCUUUUAUCUAUUCUGUUGCCAUUCAUGUAUGUCAGUGCAUAUGAUGUUGAUCUUUCAUCUGUUAUGUGUAUACUGAAAACAAAGAACUAAAGAAGAAAGAGGAAGAUCAAGAAACUGCAGUGGAUUCUUUGAAGCUAGAGAAAGUGACAAAAUCUUCUUUUUUUUUAUUUCCCCUCUUUAUUAAUUGCACAUAUCCUCUUCAUGCAUAGGUAUAUUGCUCUUUGUUUUGCUUCUAUUUCCUUAAAUGGAGUGGUAGAAGGAUUCACAUUCCCCCCACCAAAGAUAACAAAAUAAAACCCCUAGAUGUGGGCACCAAGACCUUGGAUUGAAAAGGAAAUGAAACCUCUUUUAAUUUUAAUUUUUCUUUUUCUUUUUUGCUUUUGGAGUCUUAUCUUAACUAUCAUUGCUUUUUUUUUCCAGUAAUUUAUUAUCCAGGUGGUGGUGUCAUCUUUCACCACCUGAGAGGUUUAUUCUCUUCUUGUUUUGCUCACUAUUGGCUGCAGCUACAGUUGUUGCACUAAUUUUGUGUGCAACUUUGUUGAUUUGCUAUCCAUUUAUGUUCCCCUUGAGUGCACCCUUUCAUAAAGAAAUUAAUUGUCAAAGUAUAGUCCAAAGGUGUUCCUAUAUAUAUAUAUAUAUNAUAAUCUAACGGGUAAAAAUAAUCAAAGGGUUAAUUCUAACGGUGGAAAACUCGAUAGCACCAAGUCCUUGGUGAUAUCCAUAGUGUCCCAGUCGGACUCUACAUAUAGCACCAAGUCCUUGGUGCUAUCGAUAGUGUCCCAGUCGGACUCUACAUACUAUAUGUAGAGUCCGACUGGGACAUUAUCGAUAGCACCAAGGACUUGGUGCUAUCGAGUUUUUCACCGUUAGAAUUAACCCUUUGAUUAUUUUUACCCGUUAGAUUAUACUAUUCAACCAACCACCCACUCAACCCUAGGGGGCCCAAAUCAUCCUCACCGCACAUCCCUUAAUUCAAGGGCUAAAAAUUUACAAGCACCAAUAACUUGGUGCUUUUAAAAGCAUAGGAGCUCAAUUCUAUAUAUAUAUAUAUAUAUAUAUAUAUGAGUCCGGCUAUGGUGCUUGUAAAAGUACCAAGCACUUGGUGCUUGUAAAUUUUUUACCGUUAGAUCUAUGCCUUUGAUAAUUUUCACCCGUUAGAUUAUACUAUUCAACCAACCACCCACUCAACCCUAGGGGGCCCACAUCAUUCCAACCGCACAUUUCUUAAUCUAAUGGCCGAAAACAUACAAGCACCAAUGACUUGGUACUUUUAAAAGUAUAGAAGCUCAAUUCNCUAUAGAUAGUAUAGUAGCCUAAUUCUAUAUAUAUAUAUAUAUAUAUUCUAAAACUAAUCAACUUUGUGCAUGUGUAUAGUUCAUAGUUUAAUCUAACAAUUAAGUUACUCCAAAACUAAUCAUUAAUGAAAUUUAAGUCCAUCAGCAAAAAACAUUGUUUUGGUAGAGAUAUUUACAUCUAAAACUUAUUUUUUUCUCAAAAGAAACAGAAUUAGCUUUGAUUUUUAUGUGCAGAUUCAUUAAAUUCGAUCAUUAUUUGCUAAACUAAAUUUAAACAGGAUCAAUAGAUUUGAUUUUAUUCCUCCUAUAAGAGAAAUAAAAUCAAGAAAAUGCUGAUUGGCAGGACUAAAAAUCAUUACAAAAGUUGAUGUGAUAUUUGGAAAACAUUCCCCAAUAAUCACUAAGAUGACAAAAUGUUGUUUAAUUUUCUCCAUUUCUUCUCUUCCACUAUGUUAUAAUAUGACAAAAUGUUGUUUAAUUUUCUCCAUUUCUUCUCUUCCAUUAUGUUAUUCCAUCGUGCAUUUCUUCUGUAGAAUGCAGCGGAAGUAUUCAUUCGUACCUUUUUGCGGAAGCGAUUCGCGUUACGACUCGAUGAGCCCGGAUCGUCGAGGUUGAUUCACGUGUCCUUUGAUCGUCCUUGAUUAAAUCUUCUCACGUUCCAAACUCGCGAUGGAUCGAACUACAAACGAGCACGAUCAGAAAUCCACCGUUCAAGUCCCUCUUAGAAUAAUAGGUUGAUGGAGGAUGUGGUUUCUUUCUUUCGUUUUCUUGUUCUCUUUUCUUUUUCCGUUCUUGUUCCUUUUUAUUAUGUGGGAUCGCCUGCAUAUUUAUAAGGGAUUCCAAAAUCCUAAUAGCGUUAGAGAUAAGGGCAAAUCGGUUAUUAAUUGUUAUCCUAAUAUGACUAGAAUUUAUCUCUAACUAACUUUCCAAUUUGAAAGCGAGAUUAAUUCCAAUCCAAUUAGAUAACAUAACAUCCGUCAGAUCGAACCCGCUUAUGGGCGUACCCGAUUCGAUUUAACCGAAUGCCAACAUCUACUGUAAUGCUUGCUUUUCACUGUUAAAGCAAACAUUAACUUAUUCUACAUUAUAAGGCCAGCACAUGAGUAAGAAUUGUGAUGAUUUUUGUCACUUUUGAGCAAUUUUGUAUGAGAGAUUUGUUUGGGACAGUGAAUUUUGCACAAAUCUAUAAACUUGUACUUCGGAUUUUUUUCUUUUGCAAUUUGUCUCUAACUUCCAAUUUCAAUAGGCUUUUUCAAUUCUUCUGUUUAUUUCGCUAAAAUGAGAGAUAAAAACUCGGUCAAAAUGUAUAUGUGGAGAUCCUUUCAACUAGAGGUCAUUCCAAAAUUUAACCUGUAAAUUUGUUUUGUUUUGACAAAGUAAAGAAAACAAAGUAAUUUCUAUGCCUCCGCAUUUUCACGAAUCAUGGUUCAACUGAUAUAUUUAAUAAAUUAAAUCCUCAUAUGCUCUAUCUGUUAUAUAUCUUUAACGUCAAUAUCAUAUGUAUCUCUCAUCUAAUUUCUAACUCGUAAUUUAUAGACUAUUUUCUAUCGAAUAGAGUUAAUAACAUAACAAGGAGUGUUACACAUUAACCUCUACUUCUUGUAAGGUGUAGGCAUCUAUUACAAUUUGCUAUUCAUGCAAUCAUGCACUUACUUUAUAGAAUUUUAUUUCUUAUCAUAAUCAUACUAGAGACCUACAUGUUCCAUUUUUUUAAUCCUACUUGCUCCAACUUUAUACUUGGUAGAAAAAGAUUGGCAAUAUUUAAAAUCACCCAUUUGUGGUAGUGACUUGAAUAGAUCAUCUUAAAUUUACCCCUUUCCACUAAAAAUUAAUUAAAAAUAUUGUAUUUCAUAAAUAUGGUGAAAGGUUACAAAAGCGAAUAGAAAAAUGAUUCAGUAGUGCUUACAAACAGUUCUACAAACUUUAUAUAAAUUUGUAUUAAUAUCAACGAUUUACGUACGAGGCUAAAAAAUAACUCCAAUCAUUCAAAAAAAAAAAAAAAGAAGAAGAAAAUCAAAUAAAACAUUUGUGGAGUUAUUUGUAAGGAUGAUAUUAAUAUUCUUUUGAAUAGGAUAACCCUAACCACCAUGUAACUUAACCUCAUGUCCUUAUCCAACCAUGGGAGAGAUUGGUGGUUUCUUGUACUUAACAAUCAAAUGACUUGCAUCAACAAUUCUCUAGUGUUAAUUAUAGGUUUCAACUACUGGGUUUAUUUUAUUUAAUUUUCCUUUUUAAAAUAUCUACAUGGAUCAUUGGAUUCAUCUCUCUUAUUGGGUCUUUCCUACCUGGAGACUUAGCCAUUUCCCAAGUUGCAAAUUUGAUGGUGACUUUGAUGUUAUUUAAUGUGAAAGGGAAGGGCUAAAAGGACACAAAGUAUUAAAAUUUAGGUUCACAAUUUUUUUUUAAAAAAAAAUUGUAAAAAAUCAGUGUGUAGCAUCACAAUCUCAUUGAAGUCAAGUUAGUUGAGUUUCAAGUAGACUCUUUGGGAAUUUUAAUGCCAUUAAUACCAUGUAUAUUGUUGCCAUUGAGUUAAUAGAUGAGGACUAAAAAAUUGCAAGUGAGAUCAUAGAAAAUUUCAUGAUCAAUUAUUUUGCUUGUAAUUUUCAUGGAUCAGAAACUUAUUUCCCAAAAUUGACCAAAAAAAUAGAUUAAUUUUUGGUGUUGUUUGUAUGUUAUGGAUGCAUGCUUUUGUCAUUAGAAAACAACAGAUGCAAAACUCUUCAAUUUGACUUUUUUACUGCAUUAUUUUGUGAAAAGCACUCCCUUGAUUUCUAAUGACUAUAUGUGAUGUUUUUAAUUGUUUAUUUAGCCCCACAUUUGAAACAAUUUCUUCCCAUAAUAAUUACAAUUUUCCUUUUUUUUUUUUUUUUCAAGAUCGCUAGCGAAGAGUUUAAAGCUUUUGCUGUGACAUAAUUUUCUGAUGAGCACACGAGGCUUUUGUUUUCUCUUUUACUAUGAGAAGCUAUUAGGAACAUUGAAAAAAAAUUAAAUCUUUGUUAAACUACUAUUCGCAAAUAAUAGUUUUGUAGAAACUGAUCGAAUAGAUUUAGAGCACAUUGUAGGAUGAUUCAUUGGCACCUCCAUCACUUUUACGAUAGCGGUAUCUCUUGAUAAAAAAGUUGGCCAAACGAGCUCUCAGUUGCAUAUAAAUUGCACGAUAUCAAUUGCUUUUACUCUUUUGAAAAUUUUUAAAGAGGAAAAAGAAAUACCUUCAUAAUUACUUAGUGCAAAGCACUUCUAAAAUGGUGAUGUUAUUAAUAGAGCCAACUCCAAUAUCAAUUUACUAAUUCAGUGAAUUUAGCUAAUCACAGUUCGCUUAUCCAAAUUACUGAUGACACUGUUUAACUCACUUCGCUGUUUAAAAGCUUUAUUAAAAAAAAACAAUUUGUGUCAUUCAACUAAAUAUAGUAAUGACAUAUGCACUACCACAUAGAGGGGCAAAACAGGACGAACUCUCCUCCCAUUUUUUUUGACAGAUUGAAGCAGAUUCAAAAUAGUUAAAUUUUAUUUAAGUUUUUGAUAAAUACUUAGCAGAUUGGAAUGAAUUAAAAGCAAAAAUAUUUAAGAUUCCUCACUAUAUUUUUUUAGUCUAUUGGAACGAAUUUUAUUUUCGUAUUUUAUGUACGGAGCAAGUCGGGACGAAAACUCUAUCCGUUCGGAUCUAUUUAUGUAAAAUCUUAGAAUUAAUAAUGCUAUACUCAUAAUUCAUCUCCUAUUUAUUAUUCUUCUUAAAUAGUACACAAUAUAAUGUUCCUGCUUUUGGACUGGACCCUAUGGCAUAGUGAACACACCAUAGGGAACUAUAUAUAAAUAAAAUUUCAGUGGUAAGUGUCCUAUCUAUGUCUUAUUAAAAAGUCUUCGAUAUCUAUUAUCAUAUAUUAUAAUUAUCUUCAUUUGAUAAUUCAUCAAAAAGAAAUUAAUACUAAAAUUUAUAAAAAAAAUUUUAAAUUUAAAAAAAUAUAAUUUUUAGGAAAAAUUUUAAAUAUCAUUUCUAUAGUUUCAUACUUUUUUAUUUUCUAUGAUUUAGGCCCAGUUUGGAAAUUCCUAAAAACGUUGCAUAGUUAAAUUUUGCUAUGGCGGUAGGAAAAAUAUCCUAUGAAGUGUUUGGGAGAAAAAAAAGUAACGUAAAUUUUGGAGCAUAGUUAAACUAUACUCUAAAAAAUAGAGUAAAAGUAUAAUCCACUCUAACCGAAGAAAAAAAAAUUUCACCAUUCUUAAGCUCCCUUCUUCAAAAAAUGCAUAAGUUCUAAUUUUUAAAUUUCAACAUAAAAUUUUAAAUUUCAAAAUAAAUUUUAAAUUUCAAAAUAAAUUUUAAAUUUCAAAUUUUAAAUUUAAAUUUCAAAUUUUAAAUUUUAAAUUUUAAAUUUCAAAUUUUAAAAUUUUAAUCAAAUUUUAAAUUUUAAAUUUUAAAUUCUAAAUUUCAAAUUUCAAAUUUCAAAUCUCAUAGUUCAAAUUUCAAAUUUUAAACUUUAAAUUUUAAAUUUAUUUUUAAAAUUUUAAAUUUUAAAUUUUAAAUUCUAAAUUUCAAAUUUAAAAUUUAAAAUUUAAAAUUUUUAUUUUAAAUAAAAUUUAAAAUUUAAAAUUUUAAAAUUUAAAUUUCAAAUUUCAAAUUUCAAAUUUCAAAUCUCAAAUCUCAUAGUUCAAAUUUCAAAUUUUAAAUUCAUUUUUUAAAUUUCAAAUUUCAAAUUUCAAAUUCUAAAUUUCAAAUAUCAAAAUUUAAAUUUUUUAUUUUUUAUUUUAAAAUUUAAAAUUUAAAAUUUUAAAAAUUAAAUUUAGAUUUUAGAUUUUAUAUUUUAAAUUUUUAAAUUUUAAAUUUUAAAUUUUAAAUUUUAAAAUUCAAAAUUUCACAUUUCACAUAUCAAAUUUUUAAUUUUAAAUAUUUUUUGAAAUUUUAAAUUUUAACUUUUAAUUUUAAAAUUUAAAAAAUCCCGUGAAAUUGCACAAUGCGUAUGCAAACAGUUUAAAAAUUGAAUCUGUGGAAUUUUUUAGAGUUGCAGGAUUCUCUAUUUUAUCUAGACCAAAACCACAGUUUAUAAAUUCCGCAGAAAUUUUUUAAUGUGCAUCCAAACAGGCCCUCGUAAUUUUAUUUUUCUCUUUUUAUUAUCUCAUCUAUUAAUUUUUUUUAUUAAAUUAGUGAUAAAGUUAAAACUAAAAUAUACUAAAGUGAAUAUUCAAUAAACCUAGGUGAGGUAUGGUGAAGCUAACGAAAAGAAAAAACCAAAAUAACAAAAUACUAAAUUAAUCUAUUUUAAAUUACAUAAUAUUAAAAUAAAAAAAUAUGAAACUACGGCAAUGAUAUUUGAAGUUUUUUUUAAUUUUUAAACAGAGAAAAAUGAACAGAGACAUUGUUGAAGGGCUUCUUAAUGAAGCUUUUUCUAUUAUAUUAUAUAAUCUAUUAAAAUGUCAUUUAUUACUACAAUGUAGAGCAAUGAUUUUUCACCUACUCCCCCUCUAUAGACUCAUAAUCUCUGGAGGAGUCUAGAGCCUCUAAGGCCCUCCUAAAACUUAGGUAGACAAUAAUUGUUAGAGUGACAUUUAUCUCAACCUUAUCCUCAAAUCCUGCAAAAAGAUAAUCCCCCACUCUCUUUGCCCAUUAAUAGCAACUAGGGUCAAACCACCAUUGCAUAUUUGUGUAAAUUUUAUUGGGUUAGAAUUUUUUUUAUUUUUUUUGUACACAACAAUUUUUAUUAUAUGUAUAAAACUAUGCUUGGAUCUCCUUUUUAAACAAAAACAAAAAUACUUUAAAAGUGUACUAAUUGAUUGUAAAAAUAAAAAAAAUAUAAGUUUAUACUUCACAAUAAAAACUAUUUGAGUACCCAAAUAUAUACAUAUAUUUAUAUAUUUAGUGAGCUUAUAUUUAUGAUGAGUUGUGCUAGAACACUAUCGGCAGCAAACCGGCUCCAUAGCCACCCAUUUGUUUUCAAUGAUGGAGCCUUCGAAUUAACGAUCGGCACCGUUGAAUAUGAUCUAUACCACUUGAAGUAUUUAGAAACCAAAUUUCAAAUCUUUUUGAUAUCAUUAACCUAAUGAUCAAAAGGUUUCAAAAUUUAUAAUUUUAAUGGUAGAUAUGAGGUGUUUUCACGUUUAACGGUGUAAAACUAUCCAAAUCAAUUGAAUUUUGGUUAGAAAAUUCUUUAAACUAUUUAGAACAAGAUCUAUACUCUCGAUCUUGAUUAUAAAGUUUCUAUCAUCACUUUUUAGAAGAUAUUCAUUUUCAGCCGUUCAUUUUUACACCCACUUGAUGGACAAGAGAAUAAUAUCGGAAAAACAUGAAAUUUGAUUUCUAGAUAAUUUAAGUGGUAUAGAUCAUAUUCAACGGUGCCGAUCGUCGAUUCGAAGGCUCCAUCAUCGAAAAUAAAUAAGUGGCAACGGAGCCUAUUUGCUACCGAUAGUAUUCUAGCUCAACUCUAUUUAUGAUAAGACUUUCAAAUACUACCGUUGAGACUGUUUUAAAUUUAUAUGUUUUGCAUAAUAACUAACGGAUUAAAUUAUUUGAUCAUGUGAGCAGGUCCUAUCAAAUAUUUAUAACAAGGGAUUAAUUUUCAUGCAGGUCUCUAUAAACAUAGUAAAUGAUAAAUAUAUUUCUACAAAAUUCGACUUCCAUAUGUUGUUCUGUAAAAGUCUUAAUGUUUUCAAAUAUAUUCCUGCCAUUAGAAUCCGUUAGAAAAUUUUAAUUAAUCAUAGGUUAAAUAAUUAACCCUAAUUAGUUUUUGAUAUUUCUACCUCUCUUAUAUUAUAUUGCUAUAGCUUUUAGAGUGAUAUACUUGUGAUGGUAAAAUUGAAAAUAUAAAUAGUUCUCAAACGGUUAUUUAACGGUAAUAAAUCAGAAAGACAUAUUUGAAAACAUUAAAAUUUUUACAGAAACAACAUAUAAAAGUUAAACUUUAUAGGAAUAUAUUUGUCAUUCACCAUAUUUACAGGGAUCUGUAUGAAAUUAAUAAAGUAUCUAAAUUUACAUACAUACAUCUUGAAGUCAGAUGUUUAAAUUUUCAUGUAUUCAAAUUUAAGACUUUGUAUUCUGAACUAUAAUGUUGAUAUGUACAGAUACUUGGAAGGAUUCAUCAAAGCAUGCGCAUGCGAGAGAGAUGAGAAAAUUAAGAUGCCACAAGAGAAACAAUGUAGGUGUACUUCAAAAUGAAUACUAAAUAAUGAAAUAAUAAAAAAAAAUUAAAAAAAAUGAUAUAAUAGUAAAAUAAAAAGCUAAAGUACAAAAAAUAAAAUAAAAUAUUCAUUGUUUCAUUUCUACGGAAAUUGUGUUGGUUUAAAUGGGUCAGCAUCCAAUCAUGUGGCAGAAAGCUAUAUUGAAUCGAGUCAUAUUCGAAAUUGCGUGAGGCUGGAUUGGUCGAGUCAUGUUCCAAGUGGCGUGAGGCUGGGUGGGCCGAGUAACAAUUGAAACUCGUGAGCGUUGUAUGCGUACGCUUUAAGUGAAUUGAUUGUAUAUUUCUAACAGACCAAGCUUUUGGGAUUAAUGGUUAGCGCCAACGAUCCGACAAGUGACAUCAGAGCCAGAGGUCACGGAACAAGUGGUAUCAGAGCCAGAGGUCACGGAUUCGACUCUCGCAUGCUCAAAUAUUUGCAGGUGCUAGAGGGAGAAUUGUUGGUUUAAAUGGGCUUGUAUUCUGUCCUGUGGCUAGAGGUUAUGUUGGGUGGCAUGAGGCUGGGUGGGCCGAGUUAUAAUUGAGACCCGUGUGUGCUGUAGCUAUACACUUUAAGUGAAUUGGCUGCGUAUUUCUAACAGCGACAAAUUAUACAUAUAUUCUCUCUUGAAAAAUAAUUAAAAAAAUACAAUAAAAAUACAAUAAAAACUGAUACUUUAUAAUGUAUGUCUCAAAGUUGGGUAACAUUUCCCCUCAUUUGAAUACACACAUUAAUAUACUACGAAUUUCUAGAACUAUUUACCUAUCUAGCCUCUUUACAAAAAAAUAUUUCCUAUCUAGCCUUCUUUUGAAAAAUAUUCUCCAUCUAGCCUCAUUUUCAAAGAUUAGAGAAAAAAAGAGAAAUUAAUACCUUUAAUAUAUAUUAAGGGGUUAAGUGGGGGAAAUUAUCUUUUUCUCUCUCCUCUCCUAUUUCCCGAGAUCCCUUCUCACUCUCUAAUUUUUGCGUAUAAUUUAUCUCAUAUCGAUUUAUUUCAAAAUAGAAAAUUUUUAUAUAGCGCAUCAACCAAUUCCAAUCUUUUUAUAUUUUGAUGGAAAUGUUAUGCAUGGUUCGGAAGGAGUUGAUUAUAAUGGUCCUGAUCCAAAACUAUUUAGAUUUCUCGUAUUUUAGGUUUUAAUACAUUAAAACAUAAAAUUUAUAGGCCGAAUGGGAUCAAGAUUAUUUUGAUAUAAAAAUUAAUGGGAGAGGAGAGAGAAAAAGAUAAUCUCCCCCACUUAACCCCUUAAUAUAUAUUAAAGGAAUUAAUUUCUCUUUUUUUCUCUAAUCUUUGAAGAUGAGGCUAGAUGGGGAAUAUUUUUCAAAAGAAGGCUAGACAGGAAAUAUUUUUUUGUAAAGAAGCUAGAUAGGUAAAUAGUUCGAAUUUCUACGUGCUAUACUCCCACUAUACCCAAAAGUUACGACGCGCAUCACUCAACCAAUUAUAAUACGACACGUAAGCAAAUUAUUCGCGGUGCGUGGACGCGGCGCACCGCGAACGUUCGGAUUACAUGACCGGUGUUCUGGCCGAACGCGCGAUCUCGGGCCCCGCGGUGGGGCCCGCGUCCCCCCACCUCCGAAGGAAUUCUAUACUGUCACACUUACACCAUAUCACCAAUAAUAAGCAAAUCACAUUCCUUCUUUUUAAAUAUAAGUACAAUAAAAAUAUUUUUUUACAAUCAUGAUAGAACAUAUAUUCUUAAAAGGAUUAAUUUUAUUGAAUUGUUACGCCAAGUCACUAAUAUACCUAUUGCAUACUAGAAUUUUUCCCACCCAAGUGGCCCAGUGGCGCGUUCGGGGGAUGCGCUGACAACUCUACGCGUGUACGGCCGGAUCGGCGUCAUCUGGAAUCGAGCCCGCCCCCCAAUCGCCGCCGUCGCGAGGGGACACGUGGAGGGCGGGUGCGGAUCCCGAGGCGCGUGCGCGUGGGCGUCGCAGUUGUUGCGGAAUAAAAGGUCGAGGAAGGACGGGGCGAGGCGAUAUUGAUGUUGAUAUUCUCACCCCACACCAACCCCAAAUUCACCCUUAUGUAAAUUUUUUAAGUGUAAAAUGCACUAUUGGUCCCCAAACUAUGAGUUGGUGAUACUUUGAUCCUCGAACUUUAGUUUAAUAUAACUUUUGAAUCGCAUUAUGAAAUGCGUACGUGAUAAUUAAAAUGCAACUUUACUUUUAUAUCAAUGAUGAUAUAUAAAUAUUUAAUCAACUAACUAGGGUUGUGAUAUUUAAUUAUAAUAAUUGUGAAAGUCCGUCAAAAUUAUAAUAAAUUAACGUAUGGGGACUAAAAUAUCACCCUAUUUUUAAAUUAUUUUAAUGGAUAAAGAAAAAAUGGAUAAAAUUGGCACGUAAAUAAUUAUUAAGCACAAACUGGUAAUUCUACAAAGUAAAGAGGAAGUUAAAUUAGUAAAUGUGAGGAUCAUUAUAAUUAGAAAAAAAAAAAUAGGGGAUCUAGUUUUAAAGAGUUGAUUUAACUUUAAAAAAUAUAAUGAAUUAAUAAUUAUAAACUUUUUUUUUUUUUUCAGAAGUUAUGGAUAGUCCUUAAUUUUCAAAUCCUCUUUUAAAAGUUAUUAUUAUUGGUAGUCCUUAAUCUUUUAAAAUGGAUAAUUUAAAUUAUUCGAAAAGUUAGAGCUUGAAUACAUUGGUCGUUGGAUCUCAGCUACCAAACAUUAAGUUCUUAAGAUGGUACGCAAGGACGAUCAGUGGACUUUUGAUACUUUAAAGAUAAAUUAUAAUUUUAGUCUUCAAUUUAAAGAGCAUGUGAUAUUUUAAUUCUUAAAUUUUAAUUUAUUAAUAUAUUAUAAUUUUAUUUUUAUUUAUAAUUUACAAAUCACAAAAUAAUAAAGUAAAGGAGAAACUUCAAAUACCCCAUAUGGUUUCGCUCUUUCUCACUUUAGUAUUUUGUGGUUUAAAGUUUAUCAAGUUAGUACCAUGUGGUUUCGCACUUUCUCACUUUAGCACCCUGUGAUUUCGCACUUUCUCACUUUAGUAUCUUGUGGUUUAAUAUUUCGUUAAAUUAUAUACCCAAAAAUGAAUAAUAAAAAGAGAAAAUUGAAACCACGUGGUACUAACACAGGGUACUAACUUGAUACACUUGAAACCAUAGGGUACUAAAGUGAAAAAGUGUGAAAUCACAGGGUACUAAUUUGAUACGCUUUAAAUCACAUGAUACUAAAAUAAGAAAAUACGAAACCACAUAAGGGUAUUUGAAGUUUUUCCUAAAGUAAAUAAAAUAGACUAGUAUGUAUUGUAUUUUAUAUCACUCUAUAGUUUAUCGAGUAUAUUACUUUACUAUAGUUGACCUGGUACCCGUCAUAAUUUUUUUCUCAAUAGCAAAAGUAUAUUGAAUUGCACAAAUUUUAGACAUUAUUUAUCUAAUAUUUAAGUGGUUUCAAAAUAGGGAGGCAAAUGGAUUUGGAUUGGUGGAGCUUCCGUCCCCAUCCAUUUGAAUGGAACAGUAAGUGGGGUUCAAAAAUAAAUUAAAAAAUAAUAUGCCUUCAAUCUAUUUUGAUCGGCUAAAAAAACUAAGCGAAAGGUGGAGAACAUAUUCUUUCCUUUAAUUCGCCAAAAAAACUAGCUCUAAGUCGGACCUGUCCUGAAUAGAACGGUAAGUAAGUGCAAAAAAUAGAUAAAAAUCAACCCGCCACAUGUCCAUCUCGAUCUGUCCAUACAGGGCGGAAUAUAAGGGAACUCCUCUCGCCCUCAGCUCUGUCCCGUUUAUUUUUCUGUUUGAAACAAUGGCUAUAUACGGUAAAUUUGAGGCCACUAAUUGCUAGAUAAAUUAUAUCAAAAAAUUAUAAAAUUUAAGUUUAAUAAAAUUUAUAUAGUUUAGAUUAUAUUUAACGAUGUUCGAUUCGGAUGCUCCAUCGCAUGGACGAAUGCAAAAAUAAACAAUUUUAUUUGCUUCCAAAAUUAUUAUAUUCUGUAUUAUAUUUAAGGGUGGGAUGGGUCCUCCCCUCCCCCACUUUUUUCUUGGUGAGUUGGGGGAGGAUUCUGGGCGAAUUAAUUUUCUUUUAUUUUUUAUUUUCACUUAUCGUUUCAUUUAGGAUUAGUCGAAAUGAAAGUGUAUUUGUGACGGUAUAUCUCACCUACCAUCCUAUUAUCGCAGUGGAGUGGAUUCGAGCAUAUCUGGAUUCGUUUGCAUCUCUUAAGGUAAAUUAAUCGCCUAGUGGGGAGCUUCUUGACGACGCUUUACCAGAGAACUUCUGAUUCACUGUCACUUGUUAGUUUUACCUCGGUUUAAUAAUUCGCUGUAUAUUUUCUAAUACUAAAACACCCAAAAAAAUUCUAAUGCUAAAAAAAGCUUAUAAUAUUUGGAUAGACGUCAUAAAAUAAAAUUGAUACAUAAUAAUAAAAUUACUUCACUAAAUUUUGCCUUGUCUUUUUCCGAAAAGUAAUCAUGCCGGGAUGUGACCACCUCUUUUAUCUUUUUAGUAUUGAUUGCUCACGUUCCAAUAGGGGUAGUAAUUUAGCUCGUUGUUCACCAAUUAAUUUUUGUUCGGCUUAAAAUUAGCUUAAGAUCAAAUCGCAUAUUUAGUUAACGAGUCGAAUAAGAGCUAAAUUUUUCAACUUAUUUAAUAAACAUGCCGAACACGAGUUGGGAUCAGUUCAAUCGUAUUUGGCUCGAUAACAGCUCGAAUAUAUAUAUUUUAUACGUAUAUUAUUUAUAUUUUUAUAUAUAUAAAUAUAUAUAUAUAUAAAAUACAGAUUUUUAUUAUUUAAUUUUUAGCAUAAUCUAAAUAUAAAAUUCAACUCAAUUAUAAAAACGCCUAUUUAUAUAUAAAAUUUUAACUAUUAGAUUAAAAUCAAUGAGUAAGAUUCUAUAAAUUUAUUUUCUAUACAUCUAUUUUUUUAUAUUUUUAAUUUAUUAUUCAUGAGCUAAUUUAUAUUUGACUCAUUAAUAAACGAAUCAAAUACGCGUUGAAUUUUUCGUGGUUCGUUAGCACCCCUACAUCAAAUACAAAGGUAAAAAAAAUUAUUUAAAGAGAAUGUGAAAUAGAUUUUUUAGCAUAUUUAAUUUCAACAUUGCAAUUCUGACAUUUCCCGUCUCUUCACGUCACGCCGUGUCCGCCAAUGGCAUCCAUUUAUGUGUAACUAAAAUUUUAAAUUAAUAACUACAAAACUUUUAAUUUAUUUAAUUUAAAUUAUUUAAAUAUAAUUUACCUAUUUAAAUUAAUUAUUUAUUUUAAUAAAUUUAUAGUCGUAAAAGUUAUAUAAAAUAUAUUAAUUAAAUUUAUAAAAAUAAAUAAUAGACUCGAAUUCUAAAAUUAAAAUGUUAUUUACCGACUCAAAUCAAAUAAAUUGAAUGGCUGAAUAGCAAAAUCAAAAUUUUGAAAUAUCGAAUAGAAAAAUCCAAAUGGUUCUUAAUUCAUAUAAACUUUAUACAAUUUUAUCAAAAAUAAAAUAUUUAAAAUAUUUAUUUUUAUAUUCGUGGUGAUUUUAAAAAUGUAAAUGUUUUAAAAAUGUAGAAGAGCUGAGCAGUUUUUAUCACAACUUUGUACUAUUGAAUGGUAGAAAAUUGAAAACUUUUUUGAGUUUUUGAAACAAACUUGUUCCACAAAAAAGUUGGAAUAGCAGUAUGAGAUUUAUACUGGAUUAUAUCAGUUUAUUUUAGAAAUUUAAGAAUUAUUGUUUUCGAAUAUCAAACACAAUAUUUGAAAACAAAAAGGGGAAUAAGGACUUAUUCCCCUUCUUGUUUUCGAACCAAACGCAAUCGCUAAGGUCCAAUUUAGAAUUCCAAUAUCUAAUGUUAAGCAUACACUUUUAUAUUUUAGAAUUAGUGUCAAAUUUAAAAGUAUUUUUAAUUAUAUCUUCCACAAUGCUAUCAAACUCCAAUAAGAAUUGCCAUGGGAGAAAUAAGUGAUUAUUUACUUCUAUGCUAAUGGUUCUCACAAUCAUUUUAUAGUAUUAAAAAAAUAAGGAAAAAUUUUCUUUAUACCCUUCUAAAAGCAUCUAAUUUCAUAAAUGCCCUUUUAAAAAUUGAAAUAUCAUGUAUACCUCCUCAAAUUUAACAAACUUUCAAAAAUACCCCUGCCAUCAAAUCUCCAUCCGUAUUAAAAUUAAUAAUAUUUAUAUUCCAACUUUACCCCACUUAAUUAUUCAUUGGUCAAUUAAUAAUUUUAUUUCAUAAAUACCCUCUUUUAUAUUUCAAAAUUAAUUAAAUUCUAUCUAGACUAAAAAUUUAGUAAAAUUCAAUUGAUUUUAGUUUAAAAAAUUAUUCAUUUUAAUUAAAUAAAUAUUUCUAUUUGGAAUAAAUUAUAGUUAAAUUAAAUUUCAUUUUGCUUUAAUGUCAGAAUGAGAAGAUAAUUUAUUUUAGUUAUAUCUACUUUUUUUACUACAUCGAUUGUAAAGUAAUAAAUUUUUUUUAUUUGACUACUUAAUAUAGAGAAAAUUUGUUAUUAUGAAUACAUUACAACUAAGAGCAUUAGUAUAAAAUCCGACCUCAAAUAAAAAAAAUAGUUAUAUUAUGAAAGGACAAACUAAAUUCUUGUAAUCAACGGACUUUACAUAAACCAAUAAUUGUUUUAAAUAAUAAAUUGAAAAAAUUUUAGAUAAUGAAAAUUUUUCACAAAUUAAGAUAAUUAUUCCAUUAAAUUUAAUACCUUUGACUAAUUUUCAGUUGAAACUAGCAUAAAUUCAUUUAAUAGUUAAUUAUUAUUAGCUAAUUAACCUAUUAAUUGAAUUUCUUUAUUAAUUGAUUAUAAUAUUUGAAAUCUGAAUGGACAAAGAAAAUUUUUUAAAAAAUGGACCACGUACAUUUAUAUGCCCCUCAACAGUUUAGGGGCAAAAUGGAUAAUUUUAUUCUUAACCUUUAUUAUAUCAUGGUAUAACUAAGAUUAAAAUGAGUUGAGGGUAUUUUUGAAACAAAGUAAAUAUUUGUAGGGGCAAUUUUGAUACUUCAAAUUAUGUAAGGGCAUCUACGAUAAUUUUGAACUUUUCAGGGGUACGAAUGAAAUUGCCCCAAAAAAUAAAGAUGUUCUUAAAUUUUUUGGAUUUUCUAUAACAUGAAACUAAUGCUUUCAGACGCUACAAAUGCUAACUAACUAGAAAGCAUAAAUCAAGUGUUUUUGGUGAUGCAAAUUCUAAUUUAAUAGGUAAACUAUAUGGAAAAAAUUUUGAAAUUUAUUUUUUAGAAACUUUAAAUUUCUAAAUCAAGUAAUCUAACGGAGCCAAUCGUUGAUUCGAAAGUUUUAACAUUGAAAAUAACCCAUCAUGAUUCUAAAAGCAUACAAGCCUAGCUCAUAAUUUUUUGAUACUUUUUAAGAUCAUCUUUUUGCAAUUUUUUUUUCCCGAAUUUGUUAAGUUGAAUCAGCUCGAUAAACUGGCAUAAACUUUCCGAUUAAAAAGGGCGUUUGGUUUGAUGUAAUCAUAAAUACAGUAGCAUUCGAAAUACAUAAAAUUAUUAGAAAUGUAAUAUUUUUUGUAAUUGAGAAUGUUGCAAUUUGAUUGUUUUGUAGUUGAAAGUUGUAUGGCCAAUUUUUAUUGCCUUACGUGUAUGCAUAAAAUAAUAAGAAUAUUCUUAAAAAUAAAUUUUUUUAUUUUUUAUUUAGUCUUUAUUUGGGAUUACGUAGAAAGUACGUUAUAUACUAUGAGAAAGGACGAUCAGAAAAUACCUUUUUAUUUUCGCACGUAUUAUUGUGUUUCAUAUAUCAUGAUUAUUUAGUUACGAUAUAUUUUCUGCGGUCCCAUUGAAAAAAAUAUAAGCAUAUUCGUAUAUACUUUUUCCUUAAUUCUAUUUUAUAUAAUAGUGUUAUAUAAAUCACAAUACCAAACUAAAUCUUAAUAUAAAUACAUAAAAUAAUUUUUAUAUUAUUUUACUCUCUUAAGUUACUGUAUCUCUAACUAUACUAAUUUCAGAGUAGUAGUUUGAGAUAUAAUAUAA